GCUGGGACCCCGAUCUUCGACGCACUUAACCACGAGGAAAGCUUUCAGUGGGACUGACUUCCUCGUAAGUGUGUCUCGGAUAGGUAUACUUAUUUGGAGGCGAAUUUGGCAGAUGAGAGGGGGCUUCUUUCCACGUUCCUUUAGGGCGCUGAGUGUCAAGCUAACAUAGCAUUUGUGCUGGAAGAAAACAGCUAGGUGUGUAUGCUUCGGAUUUUUUUUGCAGCCGGGAAACGUUUGUCUGUCUAUCAGCUUUGCUUGGAAGGCUUGUUAAAGAGAUAACUAUUUUCUAGAAAGGACGGUGUCCGCAGUUUCUGGGCGCGCCUGAAGGGACCUAAUCCUAAUGGAAGGAAAUUUGGCUUCAUCAGCCUAAGGUGCAAUGAGCUACAUUUUCUACCUUAGCACACACACACACACACACACACACACACACCAGAAGUCAUGGUUUUAGUUGGAUCCCUUCCUCCAACCAGACUUUCCUGAUUGUCGACACUUUUAUCUGGGAAGUAAGUUUCAUGAUGUCUGUGAGGCCUGUUUCUAAGGAGUUAUGUGGGUCCUUUCCAUGUUUCCGCUUUCGGGGUGCUAGCUAGGUUUAAAAUUUGUUCACUUGGCUCUCCCCGUGGUCAAACGAGCUGCUCUCUUUUGCUGUCGCUAUCCCGGGGGGAGGGCUCAGAUCCGUCGUUUUCUUGAGAUCUAACGCUUUGUGAGGCCGCUUGGUUUCCCUUUGGUAACGUCACCAGGAAGGUCUUUCCAUUUGGAUAAUUUUCUUCUGUCUGUAAACGUUUCGAGCUCUCUAGGCUAGCCCAGAAUUUUGCUGAGUCGGGAUGUCGGAGGGUCACCCUUCUUUGUGUGAAGACGUGUCUUUGAAACCAUAAUGAAAGGAUUCAGAAGUACGGACACCUUGAUGGGACCUGUGGAAGCUGGGAGGCGUCGCGGGGGGACGGUGGCUGGGAUGGUGGGGCUGUAACACCUCAGAGGAGUAACUGAGGUCUGAGACCUUCUGUAAUUGUUAGCGACCUGCUAACCGGCUUACUCCAAGACUCUUCCUAAUCCGAGCUUUGGAUCGGAUUUCUGCUUUUGUUUGUUAGCUAGAAGACACCCCCAUCCUUAUUUUUGGCCUUUCCCUUUGAAUGGGGCAGUACUGUUGCGAGUAUAAGAAUGGUUAAAGAGACAGGGACAACUCCUAACCCACUCCCCACCCAACAACUCAAGUUAAACAACCCAAGCCGCUUUUGUAGCUUUCUCUGUCGGCCGCCUGUUUUUAGUUUUUUUUUCCUGAAUGAGGAUGAUGAAAAAUUAUUUUCCCAUGGGGGUGGGUGGAUAUGGAGUUCACUAUUAGUGCUGAGAUCCGUUUCCCUUACAAGUGGAUGGGCAAUUUUGCAAUACUUGGGCACGAUCCAGCCACAAUCAGGCAGCAAUCCUGUACCUACUUUCCUGGCAGUAAAGGACACUGAACUCGAUGGGAAUUCCUUCUCGGUAGACGCGGAUAGGAUUAUUUUCUUUGGAUUUGCACUGAAAUCUGUAGGUGGAUCCAAAACUUGUUACCCGAGAGGGAAGGUCCUCUGGCUUCAGUGCGAUUCCUUAGUAAGUAUGUGUAGUUUGGCAACCUCAAAAGUAGUCAACAUUGCCCCGAUGGUGUCUUCAACGCGGACCAAAUGCAGCUGCGUGGAUCUGGUUUCCAACAGUUCUUCGUUUACUGUUUCUGUAUGUUGAUUUCGAGGUUACUAGUGGAUGAGAAAACUUCUCACCCGCCCACUCCAUAGCAGCUUAGGCCACCAGUCUCUAGGAAAGACGUGAAACUGAUUUUAAGGAAAUUUAGUUGCAUUUCUCAAGCUGAAUGAAUGACUGCAGAAUUUCUGAAGUGGUUUGGGGUAAAGAAAGCCAAGCGAAAAGACGUCGAAACCUUCCGCACCUUUGAAAGCAUAACCCUCAUCAUAGUAAAAUAAGGCCCUAAUUCGACUUUCGGGUAGAGUCUGGUAGUUUCACAGUACUUCGGUCGAAACAGAAAGCUGUUCAGAAUAAUCAGAGUUACUCAUUUCAUGGAAUUUUCAAACUAGUACCAGAAGCGCCUAGCAUUUCCGCCGUAAGCGCUUCGGGUGCAUAGAGUUUCAGACAGAUCUCUCUCUCUCUGUCCCUCCAUCUUUCUCCCAGCUUUAAGAAAAGGGUUUGGAACUUUGGAACCAUAUUGGUCAAUUUCUUGUUGCGAUGACUGGCGUGUUUUGGGAAGGACUACUCAGGUGCAGCUUAAAUGCAGAGGUAUCACUGAAAUCGAAAGAAAGUUUUCCUGUCUGCCUUCCCAUAUUAUACCGAUAUUUAUGUAAUAUAGUUAUAAAUAUGAAUUUUGGACGGGCGAUAAAGCAAAGGGCUAGUUUAACCAUUUGCCAAGCGAUCUGGAGACUUCAAUCUUAUGCACACCGACUUGGGGGCCGAAUUCCGUGGGUUCUACGUGGGCCCAGUGGGUUUCACUCGCCCACUAAAGUCAGUAAGACUUGGAUUAAUUUUGUCUGCAUGGUGCCCGAAAUCAGGUGUGUUAAACUCUGUCGAAGUUCCAGUGGUGAAUAAGAAGUCGGAACCUCGCCUGGAUAGAAAAUAUCUUGUUUCGAUUUCAAACCGUGUAAAACAACAAGCUUCCUCAUAUGAAGGGAAGCUAUGCAGCUGUAGGUUUUUAAGUGGUAUUAGCUUUGGAAUAGUCCAUCGUAACUUUAUUAUAAACUUUCGCUCUUUCCCCCUUCCCAACUACAAACAUGUAAAGAAGCACGCUUCUAAGGCUACAAUACUACCUGGAAUUAAACUCUACUGAAUUCAGUGGGUCUUACUUCAUAGGUUUGAAUUGUUAAAAAACAAGAUUAUAAGCACCCAGAACAAAGUCUUAACAAAAAAACAAACUACUAAUUCCAUGUUCGGGUGAGAACUUUUGGUCCUUCGGCUACACAGCUUCUACUAAUUAUAAGAAAGAAUAGUGUCUAUCCUGUUAACAAAAAAGGGGGAUUUUCUAGUAAUAUUUCCACUUAUUAGAGAGUAAAUAUGGUCACAGCAUGUUCAGGGUUUCAUUUAGGGGCAAAUAACAGAUGGUAUUACAGCUCACUUCCUUCACUCCGGUUGACAACCCAUGUCGAGAAAAAUAUUUGACCCCCGCCCCGCCAAAAUAAUUUAGAAGGUGAGGGCUUCAUUCUGCCCCUUCUAAAUCAACGACGUUUUCCUACAGAUUUCUAAGCAAGUAGGAUUGCAGCUCUGUCGUCAGAUUCCAUGCAUAAAUCUACCUGUUUAGUGGUACUUCCUGGCAGCCCAGUGUGCAGGAGACUGCAUGCUUUCAAAUGUCCUUACACCCAAGGAAUUUGGGUCAACGUUGAAUGGGCUGUAAGGCUUAAAGGUGCGCAUGCGCUUAGGUACAGGUCUCUUCAAGUGAUGCUAACUAGUGGCAAACCAUAUACCAUCACCGCGAUAUCUUAGUUUAAGAAAAAGUAAUCAAACCCAGAAUAUGCUUAUAAACAACCCCUACUACAGCCCCUAUAAACAGAAAUAUCUUGCUUUAGUUAGGAUUGGGGCGGUGCAUUUAAGAAUGCAGGUUUAUGUUGGAAGUAAGUCCCACUGUUUUCAAUGGUGCUUAUUCCCAGGAAAAUAUAAAAGGGUGGUAGCUUGUAACUGCACUUCUAUGCACAAUAAGCUUAAUUAAAUACAGUGGAUUUAGCUUUAUGUACGCGUAGGAUAACCUUGUACGCGUAGGAUAACCUUGUAGGAUAAUCUUAAUAUAAAGCAUUUAAGACGAAAUCCUAGAUUUGAAUUCUACUAUUUAGGUUUAACUGCAUCGUUGGUCUGGGCGUAAAAGGACCACUUCCACUUAUGUAAUUCCAUUGAUGGCUAUGGAACUACUCUUUACACGUUAGCCACUAACCCUUACCUACCCUGGUUUGUCUUAAUUGAUCUGAGAAUGUAAUAGUAUACCCGUUUAUUAUAGUAUUUCCGCAGGUUGUACAACCCUGAAAGUGAAUCUGAACCCUGGAAGAUAAUUUCAUUAUACAACCACCCUUGAAUAAAUUAAGUGGGAGUACCUUAUGUACCUUAUAUGCAUAUUUUAAUCAGGUAUACCACGGGUAUGCAUAAUUACCGCCGUCUAAUUGAAUUUGACGCACCCAGCUAUAGAUGUGUGACAUGUAAAAAUAUUUUGUCACUAUAUGGACAUGAACUGCUUCCUGCAGAUUCCAAAUAUUUUCAUCGCUCCUCGUCAUUCUGCGCUUGAAAGGGUCAUCGUUUGGAGGAAAGAACCCCAACCCCUCCUCCCUCCCUCCCUCUCACUCACUCUCUCUCACACAGAUCCCUCUGGUAAAAGUAUUCAUUAAUAUUCAUAGUGUGGGCGAUGGAUCAUUUAUGCAUCCUAACCGCGCCGCUACACACUUGUCCAUUCUGAAGCGCACGAGUGGCACCGACCAAUCAGAAGCUGAGAGAAAGCUGGACCAGAGUUCUAGCGGGGAGGAGGAGGAGGAGGAGGAGUGUGGACAAGAUAAAGGAAGAAGGCAGGAUGGACAAAAGCAGGAGGGGAAGGCAGGAGCGGGCAUAUGUCCGUCUUAAGUCCUACCAAACGGUUACAUUUCUCACCCCUUGCCAUUCAAAACUCAUUUUCCAAGCUCCCCGCGCUUGGAGAGAUACCAGCUGCUUUCUGAAGUUGCCAGGAGGCCGCCGCAAGUUCCCUGCAAGGGCUCCGGGGACACUUUCUGGGGAGCAUUGCUGACGGGGGUGCCAACUUGAAUAAAAUAUUAUUUGGGGGGGCAGGUAAGCCGCGGCCCACAUAAUUGAUCACAGGAUGCGGCGCAUGCACACCGUUUCAAUGGCAAUGCCCAUCAACUUUGGGGGGGACCCUCCAAUAGUUUAUUGGGGGCCCGAAGGGACAUAGGCCCCUAGGAGUUGAUUUCUAUGAUUGCUGACCAGUCUGACUGGGGAGACGGUUGGCAACGCGCAAGGGAGUGUUGGCGCCCGCGAAUCCUCACAGGCCAGACCACGCCAGCCACCUAGGUACACACCACACAUUUAAAGCACAUGACUUCCGCAAAAGAAUCCCGGGAACUGUAGUUUGCUAAGGUUGUUGGGAUUUGUAGUUUUGUGAUGAGUAAGCUGUUGUUCCCAGCGGGAAAUCGCGUGCUUUAAAUGACUGGAGAAGUUUUCGCUGCUUGGAAUUCCAAAGGCGCUGAUCUGCAGUUUGUGGGGGAGAAUCUCUUGCGUUUCGGAGCCUUUUGGUACUUUCAUAAUAAACUGUCUGGACAGGAAAGCAGGUCCAUGCGCGUGACAUUAUUUUAGCCUCAUCCCCGGACAUUUACAAUGGGGGGAGGGGGAGAAUAGUAAUGGCCUUGCAAGCCUGAGAUAAAUGUGGAUGAAGCUCUCGGAAGAUUCCCAAGAGUUUGAGGAUGACGCCCCCUCUCCUGCAGACUCAAAUCUUCCUUGAGGUUUAUCCUGCUCUACCCUAUCCCCACUUUAUUUCCUCUUUUCUUACCCUCUUCCAUUUAUAGAUGAUAAGUUGUAUGGGCAGGGAAGUAAGGAUGUCACUGGUCAGCCCCUAGCAGCACCACGGUUUAUCUUCCUCCUGCUCAAUAUUUGAGAGGCAGUUUUGGGGUGUGGUAGUCAACACACAUUGCCUGUUCCUUGAGGUUAGGAGCUGGAAAUGGCAGGUGCGCGCGGGGGAGAGAUGGAGAUGAAGGAAAGGCGAGACGGGAGAGUGUUUGUGUUUCCAAGGCGCCGCCCCCUCCCCAGGCUGCCGUAAUUAUCUUGCUGAAAUAUUCUCCAGUGGCCAAAAGUUGCAAAAUAAAUCGACCUCUCCGCGCUAGUUCCAGAGGUCUGUAGCCAUCAUCCUUUUUUCAAUACAUUUUAAACAAGAGGCUCUAGCGAGCGACUCCGAUUCAAUACACAUAAUCAGUUUGGAAGUCUUAUUUCCAUUUGAAAACAGGCCUAUUUGCAAUCAUGAGAGCCGGACACGCUGAAAGAUACAGAAUAACGUGCCCGGGAGAGGGGAAGGUGGAGGGGGGGGGGGAGAGAGAGAGAGAGAGAGAGAGAGAGAGAGAGAGAGGAAGAACCGUCAGGCAAGCACUGAAGAUUUUGUGCCCCCUCCCAAUCCUUAUUUAUUUAUUUAAAACACGAGGCUGUAGCCAUGAGUCUUUUUAUGCAUUCCCUUGGAAAAUAUAACUUAAUUGCUUUUUCCACCGCUACCCCAAACCAGGACCAAAGCAAAACAAGCUGUGUAAUCCACAGCCAGGAAUACCUCCCGUCUCCCCAAAUGGUGAUUGGGAAAGUAUGUUGAUUGUUCUGCUAGCCUCUUAGGGUUAACAGGCAUUUAAUCAAGGGAAAGUACAACACGGGGAAAUGGUUUGGGGCAAAAUGCUAACUUGGUUUGUAAUAACGCGUUGUCCUUGAAUACUGCGACUGAAAGGAAGUUUGCAAGGGGUGAGGAAGGACUGGGGUGUGUGGGAAAUGAUCGCCUUUGUGGCCGAAAAGCCAUCUGCAGAACUAGUAGGUCGUCCUCCACCAGGAUGCGAUGUUAGAAUAAUAGAAUCAUGGAGCUGGAAGAGACCCUGAGGGUCAUCUAGCCCAACCCCCUUGCAAAAUGCAACAAUAUGCAGCUGUUCCAUAAGGAGUUCGAGCCUGCGACCUUGGCGUCAUCAGCACCACGCUCUAACCACCAGAGUUGUUCUUUCCCUUUUGCACCUUGAGCCUACAGAGAUUUCCUUUAGCAAAGAAGUUCGGCUGAAAUCAAGGGUGGAAAGGAGUAUGUUUAGGAGGGUUUUGCUGGCUGAGUGUGCGUGAGAGAUGGGGAGAGGGAAAACGGGAGUGCGCACACUCGCGAGUGCGUCGAGAUGUGCGCUGGGUAACUCUCGGAGCUUGGUGUAGCGAAGAUGACGCCAGAAAGGGCAGGAUUCCUUGAAUGGAUAUGAUAUGUCUGCCAAAUGGUGCUUCACAAACUCAUUCAGCCUAGAGGCGAUACUGCAAGGCUUUAUAUGGGAAAGAGGGAAGGGGGAUGGGUGGGAGAAAGAAAGAAAGAAAGAAAGAAAGAAAGAAAGAAAGAAAGAAAGAAAGAGAAAGGAAAAAUGCUGCUGUCACCAGGUCACUUUUUGCUAUCUUAAAUAAUUAUGACCAUGAUAAUAGCGAAAACGGGGGUGACACGUCAGACGGAAAGAGAUAUCUCUCAUAACGGAGUCGAUGGGACGAUGUUGCUCAGACUGAAGUGGGAGGAUCCGACUACUGUACCUGAGAUCUUUUCUAACCGAGGCACUGAGAAGGACGGGCGCUGCGGGUGUGUGUGUGUCUUACCCAUGCCAAACACUCCCACUGCAGGGCUCUAGCCUGCCCCCAGCUGUUCUCCUAAGCGCCAAGUAAUAUUGCACGACUGUAGCGAUCAGAUUUAAGACGCGCGUGACAGACUCCUCUUGCCACAGCUUUCCAUUUGGGACAAGCAAGAGACCGUAGUCUCUUCAAGGCCCUGCCUGCUUCUGGGCCAUCCCGCGAGGCACCGUCUUCGGAGCCACUUCCUUGGCUGUGUUGGUAGAAAGGAACCCCCCCUCCCGCUUUGCCAGUCAAGUGCCAGCAGCUAAGUGAAAGCUAAGAGGCCCACACCGCUCCUUAAUAAUCAUUAUGAUCGCUGUUUAUGAAGAAGAAGGUGGAAAGAAGUUGAGGACUGGCAAGACAAGAACCACGGCGACCUCGGGGUGGGGUGAGGGGUGGCCUUCCGCAGCCAUUGAAAACAAUGGGAGGUUCGCCGCUGGCUUGAACGGGUUGCGGUUUGCAGGUGCAAACGCUAUCGCUGAUUUCAGGCUUUUGAGAAGGCGCCUGUAUUUUCAGGAUGCCUGUCCCGCUUCCUCGCCACCUUCCCGGUUCAUGUCAGUGCCAGAUGAGAGGCCUUGACUCCAAAGGGAGCUGAUGGCAGCUCUUUUACUAACCGCUUCCGGUUGCUUCCUCUUUAUCUUUUGCUCGAUGUUCCUAAAUGGAAAGAAAUCGGAGGCUCCCUGGAUCCUCGUCCUCCCCACAAACUGAGAGUUGGGUUCUCGGAUUCCGAUUUUCCUACAUAGCCUCCCAAAUUAACGCCUGCUUUCUUUCCACUUAUUUAUUUGUUUAUUUCUCUUUCUUUUUUUGGGGGGGGGGUGUAUAAACCAUUUAAUCAAAAAUCAGAUCUGAGAUCUUAUGAUGAAAGGCGGUAUAUAAAUCUAAUAAAUAAAAAUUAUUAUUAUUAUUAUUAUUUAAAAAGGAAAGCGCAUCUCAAAGCUACGUUGUGGGUAAACUAAUUUUCAAUAAAACAGCACAUCUUAAAAACGAAUAUGCACAGCUAAAUUAUCUUUCCUGCACGAUCCAGCGAGGAAGCUGUUCUGGGAAGCCCCAAUCGAAGGGACUAUGAGGUGGCGCAACGACGCUUGGACAGCAGACUGUAUGGGAAGGAGAAACCAUCCUUUUCUUACAGCUGCUCAGUACAGUUUUUCUUUGGCCCGGAGCUGCUCUUCCAGGUCCCAAACCUGAGAAAAUUUUCAACUGGAGAUGCCAGGUUUUGAACCUGGGACCUUGGCUUCUGUAUUGUUUGGAACCAUAAGAACCAACUCCUAGGGACCGAGGUCCCUUCGGCCCUCAAUAAAAUAUUUCCAAAAAGCUGAGGGGAAUUCCCAUUCAGAUAGUGUGUGUGUGUGUGUGUGUGUGCGCGCGCGCGCGCGCCAUGCCACGUGACUGUAUAUGUGGGGCGGGGCUUACCUGCCCCCCCCCUGUUUUAUUCAAAUUGUCACCCGUGGUUGGAACCAUUGGUCUGAAAUGUGUACUAGGCACAUAAUGAACCAGGAGUCUCCUGCCAUAAAGAGUGUUUUAAGGAAGGAACAUCCCAUGAAUGAAGUGAUCGGUUUGUGGUUAGGACCAUAGGAGCCAACUCCUAGAGGCUUCGGGGGCUUCGGCCCCACAAAAAAAUAUUUAAGGGGGAUACACACACUCCAAGUUGAUGGGCAUUCCCAUUCCAGUUGUGUGUGUGCACUGCGUCAUGCGAAAAAUUAUUAGGGGCGGGGCUUACGUGGACCCGCCCCCACAAUAUUUUAUUCAAGUUGACGCUUCUGAUAAGGAGCGUCUGACACACGUAUGUUGGAAGAAUUUUAAAAACAUAGAAAAGCUUUAGACUCGAACACUGAUGCCUUUGUUUGAGUUUCUAAGGUGUUCUACGUCUAAGGUGCACCGUCAGAAGCCCAUUCUUAUCAAUAAAAUAAAAGACACUGAAAUGAAACAAGGAGCUCAUUUACCGAAUAGCUCAGUUGGUUAGAGCAUGGUGUUGAUAAUACCAAUGUCGCAUGUUUGAUCCCCCUGUGGGACAGCUGCAUAGUCCUGCAUUGCACGGAGUUGGCAUAGAUGAUCCUCAGGGUCCUUUCCAGCUUCUACGAUUCUAUACUUAAUCUGAAGGAUUGGCUCUGCUCUGCGAAAUAUGUCCCAUCUGGGGCUCUGGCAAUCCUCCAAAGGGUAUGAAACUCAAUGCAAGCCCUGCGUCAACUUUAGAGGGAAAUAAGUACUGAACUCGAUGCUGCUUACUUCUGAAUACACACGUAUAGGAUUGUACGGUAGAAGCGCACUCCUGUAAAAAGGUAAAGGUAAAGGACCCCUGGACGGUCAAGUCCAGUCAAAGGCGACUAUGGGGCGCGGCGCUCAUCUCGCUUUCAGGCCGAGGGAGCUGGCGUUUGUUCACAGCUUUCCAGGUCAUGUAGCCAUCAUGACUAAACCGCUUCUGGUGCAACAUGCCUGCUCAAGAGUAGGCACAGAAGCCAAUGGGACUUCUUCCUAGGCAAAGGUGCGGGAGAAUGUAGCCUAAAUUACCAGCGACAAAACAUUUCCACAGGGAAUCCCUCGAGUGGACAGCCCUGCUAAAAUUCCUUUUUUAAAUAUCUGCAGUGAAACCGAUUAACGUUUUGUAUCCUAAUUUGAUGGCCGAGACAAUUGCUGACCUGAACAACCACGCGAAGCCAACUAUGCGCCUCUUUUAGACAUUUGGUCAGUUCUCUAGCAGCUGGACCGGCAUUCCAGUUAACUUGAACCUUGGAUACUUUAAAACGGGUUUCCCAGUUAAGUUCAAUAAAGGCUAAAUUAUCUUUAACCGAGGAACUUCGAAUUAAGGUGGGAUGGAACUCCUGGCCUUGCCGGGGCACCAAUGGCAGGUGGGCAAGUGGGUGGGGAUGACCCCAUAGUCAAGCGCAUGGUGUUAAGAGCCCCAUAAGGACAGCACUCCGAUGCUUCCCAUACUCAGUCAGUUCCAGGGAUGCUUGUCCACAGGAAUAUAUUUUUUGGUUGCAUUUAAAUGGAACAAAAUUCUGCUAGCACUUCUGGAAAGCUUCCCAAGCAAAAGUGCUCAUGUGCACUUAAAGAAGAAACAACGCAAAACGAGACGACGUUGGCUUGACUUCCAGGUUCGAUUGUUGUCAGCUCACUUUCUUAGAUCUAGAAGUCCGAUCUAGAAGUCCAAGCGAAACCCUUGUAUGUUGCCCUGAUGUGAAUGGGAAAGAUCUGACUCUCUUGCUGACUUUCCUAGGACUUCAACAGACGCUUUGCUUCAGCUGGACUGUGCCCCACUGGGAUGCUGAAACCCACGAGAUUUACUUCGAAUUAAACACGUUAAGGAAUCAUAGAAUCGUAGAAUCAUAAAAUUGUAGAUUUGUAAAGGACUCCGAGAGGCAUCUAGUCUAAUCCCUGUGACGCAGGUUUCCAGCCCACAGCCAUUUCUGGAUGGCCACGAUGGGGUGUAAAAUGCAACCACAGGAGCCAACUCCUAGGGGCCGAGGUCCCUUCGCUGCCUCCCAAUGAAAUAUUUGAGGGGCCAGACCCUCAAAGUUGCUGAAUAUUGUCAUUCAAAUGGUGUGCGCGCGCCAAAUCAUGUGAUCGAUUAUGGGGUGGGGGCUUGCCUGCUCCCUCAUAUGUUAUCCAAGUGGGCACCCCUGAAUGCAAUGGAGCCAAAGGUGGGGAUUAUUUGUUGGUGCUACUCAGCGCAAGUGAAUAAACUUCGGGAUGCUCUCAUAUAUUGCCUGGGAACUUGGUGUGUGAAAAAGAAGGCAGGGAGGCAGAGCAUAUAUGUAGAACAUCUGGUGGCUGCAUCCCAGACAAAGGUUGGAAAUGCUUGCGGGCUUCCCACAGGUUUCUGGUUACCCGCUGUGAGAACAAGAGGCUGGAGUAUGCGGGCCACUGGCCGGAUUCAGCAGGUUCUGAUUAUGUACCGAUGCAAGCCGAAAACUCCGAGCUAAAGAGCAGGGCCUAAAGGCUACUGUCAGCAUUCUCUGAUCUCUGUCCAGGAAGUGGAGAACCGCCGUCGAAACUUAUCGAACAUCAGUCCUAGAGGUACGACUCAGUGACACCGGUUGGCUUGGUUCUUAGGUUAAGGAACCCGGUGGAAAAGUUGGGGGGACCACACACACACACACACAGUCUGAUGUUCGUAGCUUCCCUGUCUUGCCUCUUCGGAAGAGUGGGAAUGCUGCGAUCUGCACCUCAUCCAAGCCAAUGCGAAACUUGCAGCCCUCGGCCGAGGUCUGGAUCAUACCAAUUCUGGGGAAAGGACUGUAGCUCAGUAGUACUGAAUGUGCCAUAGGUGCAGAAGGUCCCAGGUUCAGUCCUCAGGAUCUCCAGGUAGGGAUGGGAUUCGGGAAAGACCCUCGCCUGAACUCCUGAAGAAGAGGCUCUGCCAGUCAGUGUCGCUCUGCCAGUCAGUGUCAAUGCCUAUCCAAGGCAGCUGUCUACGCUCCCAAUAAUUUCUCCCGCCCUUCCUCCCCAGGACUUGGAGAUGGACUGGGGCGUGCCUGCUGCCUGAGUGACAGCGCCCACUCAUUUGCCAGUUGGCAGGGGCCGCAAUCAGAUCCUUUCCGAGACAUUUAGAAAUAAGGAAGCAAAUAAGCUCAUGAAAUAUACUCGGAAUCCUGUAGUGAUUUCAUGCUCUUUAUUGCAGCUUGUAAAACAGUGAUUGAAUUGCCCCCCAAACCUCAGGCUUUUAUAUACAUUAUUUACACAAUGAGUCCCGUCUGAUUGGCUGAUUCUGCUUCCCUCCUGGAGCCUGAUUGGUCUUUUCUUGCAGGCCAAUCAGUUGUUGCAUUCUGCGAUCCUACCAGCAUAAUAGGCUGAUUAACUUCUUCCUGGAGCCUGAUUGGUCUUCUCCUGCAAGCCAAUCAGUUGUUGCAUUCUAGGAUCCUACUUGCCUGUUGUUCUAGGAUCGAUGGUUAGUACAUGACAGCUCUGUUAAAGGGACGCUUUUAAUUUGGUAUCGUUAAGAUCCCCCACUGUCUUCUUCAAAGGGACAGAGGAGACGAGGCAGGUACGUCUCGGGAAAUGAAAAAGAUGCAAGCGCCUUGGGCUUCGCAGAGCAAAUCCGAGAAGCACCCGAGGAGAGUAUCUGGCAGAUCAGGUCCUCCUCCUGCUGGUCAAAUUUAGGCCCCUUAGAUAGCCAGCAACCGGAGGUCAAGGGAGACUGGAGUGGGUAUUGCCUCUGCAUAUUUCUGCUUCUGAAUUCUCUGCCUUCCGUUUUGCUGUUAAGAUUAAUUCAUUUUAUCCAUCGCUUGUUACAUUGGGGGGGGGGAGUUUUAAAGCGAUGGACUACUACUUAAAAAUGCAAAGAUGCCACAAAACAGCCGAAACCACAUGGUAUGUGCACCCACCAGCAACCAAUAGCAGGGAAAGUAUCCUUCGCUACCCAACUAAAAGAGGAACACUACAGUGGUACCUAGGGUUAAGAACUUAAUUCGUUCCGGAGGUCCGUACUUAACCUGAAACUGUUCUUAACCUGAAGCACCACUUUAGCUAAUGGGGCCUCCAGCUGCUGCCGCGCCGCCAGAGCACGAUUUCUGUUCUUAUCCUGAAGCAAAGUUCUUAACCUGAAGCACUAUUUCUGGCUUAGUGGAGUGUGUAACCUGAAGCGUAUGUAACCUGAAGCGUAUAUAACCCGAGGUACCACUGUAUUAUGUUUAGUUAGUAGAUACACUUUUUACGGUGUUGAAUUGAAAUGGUGCGUUGAUUGCUAGAGUUUAAAGGGACCGCUUGGUACGUUGCCCAUCACCACGGUGGCAUCCAAACAGUCCGUUCAGGACAAGGGCACCAAACUUUUGAAGACAACCCAUAACCCAUCACUGGGAAGAUCGAAAACCGGCCGCUCGGAAGUCAGUUCCCUCGAGUUCGGGAGUUCCAAAUCCAGAAUAAGUUCUGAAGAGAAAAGGAGUCGAGCAGAGCUCUUCAUCCAGAUUCCCUUCCUUGGUGUCACAAUGGAACCUGCAGCUAAACCAUUUGUAGCCAACCGUUGCUCUCAAGGAAGGAGUCAAACCGGAUUUGACCAGGGAGGGCCAGAACUCUUGACAGUAAAAGAAUGGCAUUCCUACGUACCUCCAUCAAUGGAUAUUUCUGUUGCAAACCCAAGAGAAAGCGCAGAUCAGAUACAAAUGGAAAUGGAAAACUGACAUCACAUAGAACGCGACAAGCUGGAUUCCCUCGCCCUUUAUACCCAGCAUUAAGCAGAAUUCACACGUGACGCAUUUCCUACGUUAAACUUUGGCAUGCAGCUCUGCAAAAUAUUAAGCUGUGGCCGCGCAAGUUCUCUCUUUUUCUGUGGAGGUUUGUUUUUAGCUACCUUCUGGUUUUAAAAUGUUCUGAGGCGUUUGCUCCACUUACACUAGGACCCGAAACAGGUUUCCGCCGAAGUGGGGCUUCUUUCUGAAUAAGACGGCUUAGCAAGUAGUGCUUUAUUUGUGGCAGGUUGGGAUUUUGGCGUUCCACAAACUAUAGGAUUUAGCUCCGUGUAAAUCCAUUUAACACUGAGCGAAAUGAGAAGGUAAUCGGGGCGGGGAAACCCCUCUCCCUCCUCCCUUUCGUAACCGGAUGCCCACCUUUUAAUACCCUGCUUUCGGUUUCUAGGUUCUCAAAUCUCAAAUCGCUGUUCCAACAGUACUUCCGAUAUCUUCUCGCUGGCCAAUGGUCCUCCGAAUUAAGGCAACCGCAGAGUAGGCGGUCUAUAAUGCGGUGCCAAAUUUACUUGGAAGCCAUUCCUGUUGAAUCCAGUGGGGCUUCUCUCCACGAAAACGUAUUUAGGAGUGGGGUCCUCUUGGAGCCAGUGUCAGUUUACGCAAAAGUAAGCUUUAAAGUAAGUGCGGCUAGGAUCGCAGCCUCGAUCAGCGUUUAGGAUGCGUGCUGCUUCUAAGCAUAGAAAUGUCCCCUUAGCUUCGGUGGCACUUACUUCCGCGUGAAAUGCAUAGGAUCGCGGAACUCAUUUGUUAACAUAAGCCAAAAAGUUCUUAAAGUGAUCCAAUCCCUUUGGGGGGUGGCAUGGAAGUCAAAUUUGUCCCAGGACGCGAUCCUUGGUACGUUUAUGUGGAAGUUAAAGUCAGAGAAAUUAAUGUGAAUCAUUCCUAUUUGUAUUUAACGUUUGGCUGUUACCCUUAACCACAUUUAAUAGGAAGGAGGUCUGCUGAAACCAAUGGGACUUGCUUUCCGCCUAAAGUUGGCAAGGAUCGGGUACUAUCACUCCCCUUUUUUUGUCUUCCACGUAUUUGAAAGGAUUAUUCUUUUGUCCAAUGAAUACAAACUAAAUUAUCAAAGCACGUUGAGGGAUAAAAUGAAAAGAUAAUCAUUAGGGGUUUGUCCAAUAUUUCACACGGAAAAAACACACCCACCAUCCUCCAGGCUACCUUUUUACAUGUACUUGUCCUUAACCUUUAAAAGCAACGGCUGUAAAUACAAGAUCUGUACUUUCUCUAAUAGAUUUUCCUAGGAGCUGGUGACAGAGAACUGAUUUCUUUUCUAUUAGGCUUUAGCACAUCUUUGUUGAAGGCCCCGCAGAAUGACCACGGAUUAGAAUUCGAUUUGCAUCUCUUAGGCUCCCUGUGUGGUCUUUGUAAGGAGCUUGUAACUGUUAAAAUGACUUGUUAGGAAGCGUGUGGGCUCUCAUCCCUCUGCUUUUGACAGAAUGAUUGAGAAAUUCAGUUCGCCCCUAUAGGAUUUAGCCUGCGGAUUCCACCUGAACCUUAAGCAAUUAGACCCUAAUCUCAGCGCAAUCAUAUGGAAGUUAGGAUUUCUUGUACUUUGUUUACUCCGGGGUUCUUAUAUAUAAAAAGCACCUCGAUUAUUUUAAACGAACUUUGUAAUAAUAUUGUCCCAAAUGUUACAGAAAUGCACCCAGCUUGGAAUGCUGCCCUGAUAACCUAGCAGCAGCCAAGGCUUUACUUGAAGUUAAGAAUGUUAUAAUAAACUUCAGUCAGAGAACAUGCAUGGGAGUUAUCCUACCUUCACUGGAAACCUCGGAUGCAACAGUGCUUUGCAAACUGACUUCUGAAUCAACCUGUAGGGCAAGCAGAACCACUGAAUUCAAGGGGAUUUACUUUCAAGUAAACCUGUACUUAGGACAAGAGUGCUAACAGCAUUCUGGAAACAGGACAGACCAAACUCUAAAUGUUCAUUUCUGUUUAAACACACACACCCAAUUUGUUUUAUUAUUAGCAAGUUAGUUUCUCCCAAUCUGCUCUGCAAAAACUGUAAAUGCACUCAGAAAAACACCCCAAACAUAAUUUAUAUUAGGGCAUGAGAAUAACCAGGAUUUAACAAACAAAACUAAUCAAAGUUUGAGCCCAGACUAGGGAAAAUGUCUGUUUGUAAAUAACUAAAUGUUCCACUGAGCAAAUUAAUCUGAGCUGGAUACAUAUGUGAUCUCAGAAAAAUAAGCAUUUCCUAAUGAAAAGUCUUUUCAGGCUUUUAAUAUAUCUUUCCUUCUCAAUAUUACAAAUGCACAGUGGUCAAUUGUGAUCCCAGCCCCCAAACAUAGCAUUGCUGUCAUGGAGAUCUCAUAUUUCUCCAGAACUCAAACCACAGUAUUUUAUUACAGUUGGGGGGGGGACAAGCCAGUGGGGAGGGGGAACUUUGCUUGUGCAAAUGCCACAGCCACUUUUGGAACAGGACCUGUGACAUCAUUGGUGUUGAGUGACACAUCUCCCCUCUCCUCCCAUCUCCUGCCCACUCCACUUUCUGACCAUUUAAAAGUUUCAUUUUAAUGAUUCCGCCCUGUCUUUCUUUAGAGGUCGAGCACUAUACCAUUCAACUGCAAGAUUAUUCAUGCAGCUCUUUUAAAAUAUGGCGUGCACCGCAAGGCUACCCCUUCUCCCCCUGCAAAAACACUUUGUCAUUUCAAGAAAUGUCUUAGUGUUUUAUGGUCUGUAUUCCACAUCUCCAGAGCUGAAAUACAUGGGUACCUCUGCCCUCCCCCUCCCUGCCUGGUUUCCAAGUUCUGAACACGACAGCAAAAUUGUCAAUCCUGCAGCAUGAUCCCUCCAGAGUACUGGGACCAAAUUAUUUAUUAUUACCUCUGGGUUGCCUGCUGCAAGACUGCAAAUAUUUUAUACACAGUAGUUGGACGUGCACAGCUUGGUGCUGUGAUGACACACCACUCACUCAGAAGAGUUUAGAUCUGGAGGUAACUCAGGGGAAGAUGAGGAAGAGAGAAGAAGCCCAAUGGAGGAGUUCUACAGCUGCUUCAGGUCCUAACCUACUCACAACUGUCAGCAUUAGAAUUCAGUGACCGCUGAAUGUGCUCAGUCCUCAGUGGGCUGUUUAGGGCAGGCAUAGGCAAACUUGGCCCUUGUAGUUUUGGGACUACAACUCCCAUCAUCCCUAGCUAACAGGACCAGUGGUCAGGGAUGGUGGGAGUUGUCCCAAAACAUCUGGAGGGCCAAGUUUGCCUAUGCCUGGUUUAGGGAGUUCCCCUCCCUUAGAAUAUUCCCUCCCCAAAUGCUCCAUCUCCUAAGCCUGUUACUACCCCGUCUCUCUUAUGCAACCAAGUAGCACCACGUGUGGUGCUACUUGGUUGUAUAAGCAACUGCACUCAUUUUAUGUAUUUUAUUUUAAAAACAAAUCUACUGGUUGAGCAUAACCUCUAAGUGGCCUGCUAGAAAUAUUGAAAUUACUACUAAACCAAGCUUCCUCAACCUCGGCCCUCCAGCUGUUUUUGGUCUAUAACUCCCAUGAUCCCUAGCUGGCAGGACCCCUAGCUAGCAGGGAUGAUGGGAAUUGUAGUCUCAAAACAUCUGGAGGGCCAAGGUUGAGGAAGCCUGUACUAAACGGUUAAAAACCAGUUAACAACAUUUAAAGAUCAAUAACAGCAAAGGAGAUUUAAAAAUGUCAACACCUGCGUGUCUGGAUAGGCUUCCCUAAGCAAAAAUGUUUUAAGCUGGCACUGAAAGGAGUACAGUGAAGGUGCCUGCCUGAUAUUAACAGGUGGGGAGUUCCGAACUGUCACAAUGCUACCACACUAAAAUACUGAUUUCUUAUAGCUGUGGAAUGUGUAUUAUGUGGCACAGGUAACAAUACAGUAGUACUUCGGGUUAAGAACUUAAUUCGUUCUGGAGGUCAGUUCUUACCCUGAAACUGUUCUUAACCUGAAGCACCACUUUAGCUAAUGGGGCCUCCUGCUGCUGCCGCGCUGCUGGAGCACGAUUUCUGUUCUCACCCUGAAGCAAAGUUCUUAACCUGAGGUACUAAUUCUGGGUUAGCGGAGUCUGUAACCUGAAGCGUCUGUAACCCGAAGUACCACUAUACUUCUGCAGAUCAAAGCAGUUGAGUGGGCACAUAUGGGAAGAUGCAAUCCCGUAAGUAAACUGGUCUCAUGCCCUUGUGGGCUUAAUGGAACUCUCAGACACCCCCAGUGGAACCACCAAGGUCCCCUGCCCUUCCUAUUUAUUUUUUAAUUAUUAUUAUUUUAAAUGAGUUUAUUUGGCUUUUUUGGUCAUUUGAUAGGGGUUGCCUGUUUCUGGGAGAGUGUUUUUUUUUUUUUUUUUAAGGUCUGUGCUCCAUCUAGCUGUAAACAUCUGUGAUACAAAAUCAAACAAAAAUUAAACAUCAAGAAGAACUUUCUGACAGUAAGAGCUGUUCAGCAGUGGAACGGACUCCCUUAGGAGCUUGUGGCCUCUCCUUCCUUGGAGGUUUUUAAGCAGAGGCUGGAUGGCCAUCUCUCAUGGAUGCUUUAGUGGAGAUUCCUGCAUUGCAGGGGGUUGGUUGAGAUGACCCUCAGGGUCCCUUCCGACUCUGCAAUUCUAUGGUUCUGUAGGAGGAAAGGAUAUAACACAGCAUUACAGUAGUGAAUGAACCUCUUGGUUGACCAGUCUCAACCAGUGGGAUUCAGAGCACAAAAUAAGACACAAUCUUGUUUACAGGUGUGAUGCAUCAUAUAGAUGGUUUCUCUAGCUGGUUCCAGACAUUGGGAAGGGUUUUUGUCCUCCAUGUCCAAAGAUAGGCAACAACAAAAUCAACCUGGAAUAUAUGUAAGUGCACAUGACAAGUCAAAGGGAACAUCACAGGAGAGAGAAUAAAAGUCCUUCAGGAGAAGUAAUAGAGACAGAGCUGGGGAAAAUAAAGAUGGAUGGGAUCAGAGGUGGCCUACAGCCAUUUUAAAUGGAUAGCAUUAUCACACUGCUGGUGACAGCAGUUGACACUGUUUGUUUAGAUUUACUUGGUUACAGACUAACUAAGUGGAGAAUGGGGAGCAGAGUCAUUGCACAGGAGGUGACAGAUCAGAUGUGCUACUCUCAUUCUUCACCAACAUGAUGGACCUGGGUCACUGACUCUAUGUAUCAAGCUUUUAUUUUAUGACUGUUACCUCUCCCACUAUCCUAAAAGCUUCUAUUUUCUUUCACGUCAUGUGACCUUAUGAUCUGAAGGCAAAAGAGCUCCACAAACCAUACACACCUUUCCCAUGUUUCCCAUGCAACUUUAGGCAAUUAACUACUGGAAUGAAUGCAUCAUUCUUGGAAGCAUGGACUGUCAUAUUGCUAAUCUGUUUGCUAGCUGAAAAAGUGGCUUUUGUCUUUUAACCGUUGGAUGCUAUUAAAAGAUUGUAAAUAUUGUAAAACGUUUUGUAUUUUUCCAUUUAAAAAAAAAAGAAAGAUUGAGAAAUGGCAUCCAAAAAGGGAUCAGUAACGUGACAUUUUUCUCCAAGCAGAAGGAGCUGGAGAAAAAGUGUAGCAGAAACAACUUGUGUUGAAACUUUACAUAGGUACUGACAUGUACCGGUACUUUCUGGGAACAUUUAUAUCCUGUCUUUCCAUUCAGUGUUAUUGUUUCUGUAUUUCCUUGGGUUCUGUAUAAGCCAAACAAUUUGGGUUUAAAACAUUCCCAUAAGGAAUCCUGAGUGGGCUGAAUUUUCUUUCUUUUUUUUCAUUUUUAUCCCUCUUUGUAUAUUUUUAUUUGACUCAUAUUUUUUUUACCAAACUGUACUAUAAGGACAGAGGCAUGUUGUUGUGACAACAGAGGACUUAUUAUCAAGGCUGAUUAAUGUAAUUGUACAGUUAUAGGUAAGACCAAGAUUACAGAUAAAUGCUGGGCUGAAGCAGGACCAAAGUUGAGGUCACGGAGUCUGAUUUGGAUGUGAGAUGAGAUAAAAACAUGGCCAGCUCAAAACACAGUGUAUGGCCAGGAGCCAAAAGUGAGUAGCCAAUUGAGAACAAGACUAAUUACAACUCAUUAUGUGUAAGCGGAAGUAUUUUCGAGGAACCAAAUUAGUUGAGCCAUAAUGUCAGAAAACAUUAGCUCUGAAUAUACCUUGAAUACUAGUUGCUGGGAAUCACAUGAGGGGAGAGUGGAUGUUACACUCAUGUCCUGAUUGUGGGCUUCCCAUUGGCAUCUGUUCAGCCAUCGUGGGAAUAGGAUGCUGGACUAGAAAGGCUUUUGGCUGAUCUAACGGAGAUCUUCUUAUUAAAGAACCAGACUUGUUCAUAUCUAGAUCAGCCCAGAUGUUCCCAUCCACAUUUCCAUGUACUAUUAUCACAUAAAGGUGGUUUAAGUCAUAAGUAAGGCAUGAAUUGGUUUAGGGCAGUAAAGUGAGAAGAGGUUGUGUGCAAAGUCAACAAAAGCAUAAGCAGAAAAUGGAGGGUACCUAAGCCUAUUCUGGGAUGUUGGUGGCGCUGUGGGUUAAACCACAGAGCCUAGGACUUGCCAAUCAGAAGGUUGGCGGUUCGAAUCCCCGCAACGGGGUGAGCUCCCAUUGUUCGGUCCCUGCUCCUGCCAACCUAGCAGUUCGAAAGCAUGUCAAAGUGCAAGUAGAUAAAUAGGUACCGCUCUGGCAGGAAGGUAAACGGCGUUUCCGUGUGCUGCUCUGGUUCGCCAGAAGCAGCUUAGUCAUGCUGGCCACAUGACCCGGAAGUUGUACGCCGGCUCCCUUGGCCAAUAAAGCGAGAUGAGCGCCGCAACCCCAGAGUCGGUCACGACUGGACCUAAUGGUCAGGGGUCCCUUUACCUUUACCUUUUAAGCCUAUUUUACAAGCUAUUGUGUUGAGUUGUUCUGUGUGGGUGCCUUGGGCUCUGUGCCGCCUAUACUCCCAGAUACAAAUGGAGUGCAAAACAGCCAGACAAACAAAAUCUGCUAAUGCAAAGAGAUAUUCUGCAGCUGCAGAUUUGGCUGAUCUGGUCAACAUGGCUGCACGAGGCACUAUGGAACUGAGUUCAAAAUUUGUAUGGUCCUAAAUAACUUUUAUUGAUAGUACCUGCCCUGUGUAAAAUUCAGUAUCUAUAUCUAUAUACUUAAAAUAAACACUAACUAUCCAAACUCUAGUACAAAGGCUGCUAACAAUACACACGUGUGUGCAUCUCUACCUACAGAGUCCCCUCCCUCUUCUGAAAUUAGAAUAGGUUGUGGUGCCCAGAACAGUUUCUCAGAUUCACAUAAUGGGCCCAUGGGCCUGCAAAAGUUGGCAACCUAUGUUUUUCAUGCAUCAUCAACAGUUCUGCAACAAGAUAAAUUAUUAAGCCAAUUAAAUAUAUUACAGUAUGGGCUAUACUUUCCCAGAAGGCCCUGUAACAUUCCAAGACUUAGGCUGUGAUUCUAUCCAUGCUUCUUCCUAGAGUAAACUCAUUGAACUUCAUAGAACUUACCGUACUUCUGAGUAGGCAUGGAUAGGAUUUUUCAUGUUUUAUAAGCAGACAUCUGAUUUUACAAUACAUUUGAUAUGUGCUGCUAGGUCAGCAGACAAGCGUAGGAGGCACAGGACAGGGCAUGUGGCUCAUACAACUCUCUCCUCCAACACUUUGCUGCCACUCCCCAGCAUUUGCCACCAGAGGCAACUGCCUCACUUGGUCUUACUUUAGGACCAGCCCUACUGUAAUGCAUACUUUUGGUGUGUAUAACUCAUGAGUAUCCAAGGCCAAGUGGGUCCCACCAAAGGUGUCUUUUCCAAAACCUGCCCCUAAAACAACAGCAACAACCCUGGAGGCAGCACUGUCCUCGAUUCUUACUGCCUCAUCCUUAUGCUCCUGCAGACAGGACACUUUCUAUACCUGUGGAUAGUGGAGCUUUAGGCAUGUCAAUGCACAGAAUUGCACAUGAAUCGCUGGAUCUUGGGCAUCUUUGUCUGUGCCUUUUCAAGGGCUGUUAGCUAUUUCUGAAGGUUAAAAUUGUGAGGCAUUUUUCUGGUCUGGUUUAAGAAAUGAACUGACAGAAUGGAGACCCAGAAAACUUACAGACAGCGGUUCUGGAAAUAACAUUAAAAGGAAAGGAGGUGAGCACAUCUAAUUGCAUUUCUCAAUGGGACAUUAGUUAAGUCAUAAAAAUGCAGCUGUUUUACCAUGUACAAGGAACUGGAAGUUUUAUUCAGGCAACAAAGAGAUUUUCUAAAUCCCAGAACCAGAAUACUAUUAGCCGUUCACCCAUUUUCAGUAUUGUGACUUCUGGAUAGAUUGUUAAAUGACAUAAGGAAAGGGUGAUUUUAAUUUUCUUGAGGGAUAGCAAAGCUAGUCGGAAGUCAUUUAAUAAGCUUGAUUAGCAAGUUGUGUUGCCCUAUCUAUAGCUGGUAAAAAUAUGUUUCAUUUUCAGCUUAUAAAGAGUUGCAAUUUAACUAUCAACUUGCAUAACCUUUCACCAACAAAAUUUGUUUCAGCGAAAGAUAUCACUUUACCUAUUUUGUACCAAAUAUUUCGGAAUAGCAAAACAUCUGUCUGUAUCAAAUGUUGGGGAGAAUGAUUAGAGUUGUCAGUUGAUGACAUUUGCAGUUAAAUCAACUACUUACCUUCAAUCCAAUUCAUAUUUUUACCAAAACCUCAAUACAGAUGUCUUCCUUGAGAUGUUGAAAGAUGUGUAUGAUAACUUGCAACUUAAUGAAUAAAAGCUCCCAUUUGUUGUUGGAUAGAAAAGUUCUCUUUAAUAUGUUCAUUUUCAUUCACACUUUCUUAGGAGUAAGACCCAUUGAAUUCCCAGGAACUAAUUACUUUGUAAACAUCUAUCAGAUAGAGCAGCACAGCUUUAGUUGAUCAGUCUAUUGAUUGAACUGAUUAAACUUUGUAAUCAUCCAAAUUAUAUAUUUUUCACUCAGUCCACACUUGUAAAAAACAAAAAACCUUUAAUAUAAUUUUAACUUUCUGGUCCUGAACAUAAAACAUGGAUGGAAAUUCCAUCCAAAUCAACUGGACUCACUGCCUCGUAAUCACCCUGAUUUUAGGAAACUGUAGCACAGAAGAAGGCUACUGCUCUCAGGUACACAAAACAGGCUGAUUGCAGAGAAUUAGAAUGGGGAGAUAGAUAUAGAGGGCUUCUCAUGCAUUAAACUACUGAUAGAUGCAGGUCUUUCCUCCCAUUGAGCUCCAUUUUGGUUGCACCCUACCACACUGGCUGCAGGCAUAGAAACCAGUUUCCAAAUGCUAAACCAACACCUAUUGCUACCACUGCAUUGGGGCAUAUAUAUCUCUGAUAGGGUUGGAAACAUGGGAAAGCACUUUAAUAUUUUGCAGAUAUAGCACGGAAACAUUCUAAGGAGUCCAGCAUCCCAUACUUUUUGCUUCAAGGCUUUUCUUUGUUGUCUUAGGGCUGUGAAGGCCACAUCUUCCAAGCAAAAAACUGAUUAGCAAUACAGAAGUUCCCUUUACAUUUCAUGGAGUACCUUGGAUUUCUUCCUUAUUUGUUCUUGCAUGGAUUUUCAGUCAAUUUCUCGAUUGCCUGAUUAAGAGGAGAAUUCAAUAAAAAAAAUAAAUGGAAUCAGGCCUUGUAAAAACAAUAAAUCAGUCAAUGAAUCAAUCAAUCAAUCAUCAAUCAAUCACCAAUUAUACUGGCUGUAUCAUUAAUAAAGAAGAAGAAUUAAACUAAGACUUGGAAGAACUGCUGCAGACAUUUUCCACUCUAGCUUGGGUGUGAGAUUUCUAAACUUAAUGUCUCUCUGACUUCAAAUACACUCUAACCAUGAGUUAUUAAGAUUGCCAGGAGGAGAUUGCCUGGAAUUUUGGGAUGCCCCAAAAGUGGUUUUUAAAAAGGAAAUUUCAAUGGAAAGCCAGAUAAAAAGGUAUUGUGCAGUUUGUCCCUGCUUAAAAUGAGAACAAGGAAUGGAGCAUUGCAGUUAAUUAGCUCUAGUCAGCGCUGGCCGCUCUGCAACAUUUCUUACAGCCGUGUUCUAUCUGAGCCUUAGAGUAAACAUUUCCCACAUGCUUGAUGCAAAAAAACAAAAAAAAAAAAAAACCUGCCAGAAAAUAAACAUUUUAGCCAUUCAAAAUCUGGAGGCAUCACAAUGAAUCUUUCCAAUAACGAGUGAAAGGAGGUUUGAAACCCUUUGCUGAAGAACAGAAUAAGCCGUUGACCAUUCGUGAUUGUGUUCUUAUUUGCUUGGCAUCUUAUUCUGUCCUUACAGGACAAUCCACACAUACCCUAGUCAUACCCCAAAGCGGUUGGAUUUACUUAUGUUGAUUUAGUCCCAAUGAAAUAAAUGGAACAAAAUCGGCUGAAAUCCAAGUACUUCAGGAUUAACCGGGCUGUGGAUCAGGCUGCACAUUAUCUAGCUAUAUUUAUUGUUUGAAAGUGGAUCUUCAGUGAGCAUUUUAUUGUAAUUGCAUUGCUUUUUUAUUUACCGGAUAAUUGUUUUUCUUUGCUAUCAAGUCCUCAUUUAAAAUAGUCUAGUUAAUGCAUUACAAAUAAUGAAGUGCUACAUUGCCUCAAUUAUUUCUGUAUUAAAUGUAUCCUGAGCAAAGUUAGAUAUGUGAAAUAUUGCCAUUUUUCUCAAUUCCCUCAAAAUAGCAUUUAAUCUUCUGAUUCAGCAAAACUGACUACAGAGCAGAAACACUGUUUACAAGUUCCAUCAGCUUACUUUUCUAUGGGAAAAUAUGAUAACACGUUUUAUUGCCUUUUGCAGAAAGUAUUUGUGCUUUACAUUUUUUAUUCAUUAGGCACAAUCACUGAAUUUUGAAAUAAUCUCUUGUGUACAAAUCAUUUUGUUUCAACACAUAUGCAUAAUUCUUAGAUUCCUUUAAAAAAAGAUUACUUGCUUUUCCCUCAGAGUAAAAAUGCCAAUCCGAUAAAUAUGGAUUGUUCAAAAAUGUUUUAAGUGUUGGUUAAUAUAUUUCUUGCAAUAUAUAUCAUAAUAUUAAAGAUAAUUUAUUAGCCAGUUUUAUAUUGCAAUGUUGUCUAAAAAACGACUGUAGCGUACAGUUCAUUUUUAAUAUAUACAAAGUGAUUUAAUAUAUACAAACUGAGAACAUCCUCUUGUUGCAUCUCCAUUUAACUUUAUUUUAUUUUUAAACAUUGCAGUCUAUAUUGGAUAUUCUUUGAGCUUUUUCAACAAAAUCCUACUUUAGCAUGGGUGGGGGAAUAUUCAGCAUGAGCAGGAAAUCAGAUGUGAUAAUUACAUGCCUGCUACUCAGCGUUUCUCAUAAAAUAGGCAAUAACAUGAAAUUUCGAUCUUUCAGUUGAAAAUACACAGAACCAUCCUGGACAGAGCCACCUUUAUUGGGAAAAAGUGAAUAGGGUUUUUGGAAUGGGAUUAAUUAGGCGAAGGAAGUAUAAGGACUUCUGCUUUCAGAGACAAAGUGCUUUGCAUCAUGAAUCUGCUUGUUAUUUAAGGGCGGAUGGGGGGGGGGGGGAAGAGCUCCUAAAAAUCAGAUCCCAAAGGAAGUUCAUUUUGGGUUUGACUGAAGCCAAGUACUGUAUCUCUAGCAUCUAAUGCGCAGAAACAUUUCUUCCCCCCUUCAAUUCUUUUCCAUGACCAACCGAAGAAAAUAAUUUCACACUAAUUAUUUAAUUUUCAAACUUGAAAUAUAUUCAAUGCAGAAAACGGUACAAAUGCCCAAUUCAUAGAUUCCUAAUUACAUGUCUUUUCAAUUAAAAAUAUAUCCAGAAUUUAUAUUUGGUGUAUAUUCCUAAUAAUCAGCUGUUUGCACUUUCAUAUAAAAAUAUCCAACAACCCAGGUACUCAUCUGUCGAUCUAGCUAUCUAUCCAGACAAAUAUAAAUAUGUUAAUGAACAAAAACUUUGUGUUUUCAUGUUAAAUAUUCCAGAAUUAAAACCCUCACAAUAUAUACCUUUAAAAGCACUGUUAAAAAAGCAAGUACUCUAGACUGUUGUUUUUUUUUUUUUUAAUGCUUGAAAUGGCAUUUGAGUUCCUUGUACAAAUCCACCAUCAGUAACAGGGAAUAAAAGGGUAUUCCAUUAGCAAAUAUCACAUUUAAUGCAAUCAUCUGAGUCAGAAAAAAGUUUGCGUUAAGAAAGGUUUUAUUUACAUGAUCCAGAUGUCGAUAUUUAUUUAGACUGGAGUUAAGCAGAGAUCUUUAAAUGAGCAAGUGCUUCUCUCUCACUCACUCUCUUUCGCUCUCUCUCUCUCUCCCCUUUGGCUCAUAUUGGUUUCUGAUAUUUUAAAAUGUGAUUUUAACCUAUCUGUGCACACAGAAGCAAUGCAAAAUCUUUGUUUAAUAGGACCUCCAUAUCCUUUUUUAUUAUUAAGCAUCAGAUUUCAUUCAAAGAAUUGCAAGCUAAUUUUCAGCAGACCAGAUUAUUCUGAAAUGGUUAACCUUUACAAUACAUAAAAACUAGGCCUGUCAUUAGAAUAAAUAAAUCCUAUUCAAAUAGCUGAAUGAGAUUUGGACAAUUAAUCAGUUAUAUUGCACAAAUGCAGUUGUACUAAAUGAAAAGGAAGCUUUGGGGUGAUGUUGAAAAUUGAAUCAGGUUUAUUUGUCAGGACCAUAUGACUUGACGUAAGUCAAGUUACACAAAUCGCAAAACCAAGAAUCUUGGAAACAGGCAGUUAGAAAUUUCUGACACGCACACACGUUUCUGCAACUGCAAAGCAAGCAAUCUUUUCUCUUCCUGGCAUUCAUUUUCUCUUUCUGAUUGGAGCAAUGGUCCUUCUCAAGGAAGUAAGAGUCUCCAAAUAUUUGAUAGCAUUUCUUUACAUAAGCAAAUAAUGCAAAAAAAGAAAAAAAGGAAAAGGAAAAGGUCCUCUGUUCCAUUCCACUCCUUCCCUGCAAGAACAGAAGUUUGAACCAAGACGUAGGCAUACUUUGAUAUCCAAGGGAUUUAAGUGAAUCGGGACUAAUUUAAGUACCACUGAUUUCAGUGGGUCUCUUCUAGGUAAAGGUAAAGGGACCCCAACCAUUAGGUCCAGUCAUGAGCGACUCUGGGGUUGCGGCGCUCAUCUCGCUUUACUGGCCAAGGGAGCCGGUGUACAGCUUCCGGGUCAUGUGGCCAGCAUGACUAAGCCACCUCUAGUGAACCAGAGCAGCGCACGGAAACGCCGUUUACCUUCCCGCUGGAGUGGUACCUAUUUAUCUACUUGCACUGUGAUAUGCUUUCGAACUGCUAGGUUGGCAGGAGGGGUCUCUUCUAAGCAUGGCUAAAUAUGGAUUCAACCCAGAGACCAGCAAAGAGAAGUUCUUGCACCACUGUGUUAAUUUCCUGAGCUGUGGUUACAGCAGUGGGGGAUAGUCCAUUAGGGCAAAUGUGGAACUGCCCCACCAACCACAGUCUGCCCUCAGCCAGCCCCACCUGCCUCCCUCCCUCCUUAGCAAUGAGUUCAGGGUGUGGAACUGCCUGUUAGCCUUUUCCUUCGUAGUGUCGAUGUUGCCCUUGUAAAACUCAGCAAGGAAGAGGACGGGGAGAGAACUAAAAUUAGCUGGCUCCACCUAUCAUGGACUCAGAAUCUACCUGCUGUUUGGGCUCCCUGCUUUCUGUCCUACCAGUACCAAUGGGCAUCAGCCACCACUAGAUUGCAGCAAACCAGGGGCGGGGCUUGUAGUCAUACCUCUUCACGGGAGUGAAAAUGUACGUACUUGAAAUGUGCCCUGGGUGGUUUUUAACCUUUGAAAGAUGGGUCUUUACUUGCAGGCAAAGAAAACAGAGAAGUAGUAGAGAAUCAGAGUCCAGAUAACAUUUGACUAUUUUGAGGAAUUGCAAAAUGUAGUAUUCACACCAUGGCUGAUUGUCAACCAAGAGGUUUCAAAUACAGAUUUACCCUGUACACAUGAAAGGCAAAGCAACGCCUAUUGUUUUUAUAUAAGCACAUGUCAUGGCAGACACUAGUUUAGAAGAGGCUUUUGGAUGUACUAUGAAGUCUUGAAUAACCAAAUGUGAAAAUACAUGACAGAUACUGCUGCUGCACUGAAUUUUCAUGGUGUACCAUGCUCACUACAUAAAUCUCUCAUUUGAAGCAGCAUAUGUUCCCAUGUUCAGGGAAGUUUUUAAUGUGUGACAUCUUAGUGUAAUUUUGGUCAUUGUGGAAGCCGCCCAGAGUGGCUGGGGAAACCCAGCCAGAUGGGCAGGGUACAAAUAAUAAAUAAUAAUUAUUACUAUUAGUCCAGUUUUUUUUUUGUUUUGUUCUGAAGAUGCCUGUUCUUGGUUUCAAUUUUGACAGUGGCAGCUCUUGGUUGAAACAGUGGUGGAGCUUCAUGCUCCGGCACUGGGGGGCGGAGAGCAGGUGGGGGCAUGGCUGGCGCAUGUCCUGGGGGCAUGGUGCGCCACCUGCAGGGGCAUGUCGUGUGUCCUGGGGGCGUGGCAUGCUGCCUGUGGGGGUGUGGCACCAGUGUGGGCAGGGGGGCAGCCACGAUGGCACCCCACUGGGAUUGCACUGCUGGGGGUUGUACGUUCCCCCCGCACUCCUCUUCCUCCACCAGUGGGUUGAAAAACAUGCUAUUGUUUUUGCACUGGAAUUCCCAUAGUGCAGUGGGUACUUCAGCUCUGGUGAAAAUACUAACUGGUAAUGCAUCUGAUAUAAGCAUGUGCAGAGUCCUUCAUUUUUUGUCAACACCUGUUCUGGACUUGGUUUGGCACAGCUGCUGCGCCUCAGAGGUCUCUUCCACAGAAUGUCCUAUGGAUAUUAGGCCGGCAAUAAAGUUCUGGGCCAGAAUUGCACUGGAAACAUUGUUAUAUACUGACAAAUAGAUAAUUAUUCCCUCCCCUUGAAUAUGAGCAGGCAUAAUCUCAGUUGUCUUUUCGGUGACAAGAAACCUCUUUCAAGAAACCUUCUGAGUUGAAAUCAUUCCCAGUCUGCAUCUGUAUUUGAAAUACUUUAAAGAUUAUUUUAUUAUUAUUAUUAUUAUUAUUACGUAGUUUGUUGCCCUGGACUCCUUUUAGAUGAAGGGUGAGAUAUAAAUUUGAAUAAUAAAUCAAUCAAUUUAUUUAUUAUCAGUGAUGGCUUACAGGCACACUCAUUUCUCAUGACAAAAUAUAUCAGAAAAACAAAAGGCAGAAUCAUAAAACUGUAGAGUUGGACAAGAUCCCAAGAGUCAUCUAGUUCAACUUCCUGCAAUGCAGGAAUCACAGUUAAAGAAUCGUUGACUGAUGGCCACCCAACCUCUGUUUAAAAACCCCUAAUGAAGGAGAGUCACAACCUUCCAAAGGAGUCCAUUCCACUGUUGAGCAGUUUUAACCAUACUCCUUUUUUGUAGUUUCAACCCAUUGGUUUGGGUCCCACUUCCUGCAGUAGGAGAAAUCAAGCUGGCUUCAUCUUCUGUGUGACAGCCCUUCAGAUAAUAGAAUAUGGCUAUCAUAUCAUGUCUCAAUAUUCUCUUCUGCAGGCUAAACAUGUCCAACUCCCUCAACUGCUCCUCAUAAGGCUUGGUUUCCAGACCUUUAUCAUCUUAGUACCCUUCCGCUGCCCAUGUCCCAGCUUGUCAAUAUCCUUCUUCAACUGUGGUGCCCAGAACUGGUUACUCCAGGUGUGGUCUGUGUGUAUAUUGAUAUAGUGUCUGGUUACCAAAUUCAUUUGAAAAAAGCACUCUACCCAUAUUUUGCAACUGUAGGUAUUAAAUAUGUCCACUUCCUCACCAUUUUCUUCUUUGGCGAUCACUCGUAGCCGAGUAAGAUUGUCUUCCAUAAACACAGUUUUAACAAUGAGUCCGUAAGUGACUGUGGAGGCCAAUUCUGGAUCCACACGUCCUUCCACAAUGGGGACCUUGGUUUCCGGGUGGGAGUUGAUCACGGUGUGGAUUUGCCAAGCGUGCCUUCCUCUUAGCACGUUUCUCCCUUGUGUCCUGAGUUCGAGUGUCUUCAAAGCCCAUGACACCUUUGGUAAAGGCUGUUCUCCAAUUAGAGUACUUGCAGGCCAGUGUUUCCCAGUUGUCAGUGUUUAUACUACAUUUUUUUAGAUUUGCAGCUCAGUCUGCCACUGGACCUGUUUGUCUGGGAGAAUAGCAGCUGUUUUGUGCAUUGUACAAGAAUCCAACUAUUUUGCUAGGGGAGAACAAAAGGAAAAAAUGAUUGGGGAGGGCUUGAAAACCAAGACUUGAUACUAGCCAUGAUGCUUACUGGGUGAUGUUGGGCCACAGAUAUGAGUAUAACAUGGGAAGAGGGGAUAAUUUUGUAUGCCACCCUGACCAUCUUGAAAGGAUGGAAUAAACCAUGUAAUGAAAACAAGGUCAAUUUAAAAUGAAAUCCUGUUCAAAUUAUGUCACAGAGACUUAAACUCCCCCCCCCCCGACCGUAUCGUUAUUUUGGAGUUAAUGGAUGUCUCUGUGCAGUGGGGUGGAGCAGAGUGGGAGAAAUUCCACAAUGUGAGAGCCACCACAGAGAAGACCCUGUGUUCCUUCAGUACACAAAGGGACACAGAACCUCCUCCAUAGAUGUUGUUAGAAUAUAAUGACUCUAUGUGAUAAGAUUGCUAGAUCAUUGUCAGUCCGCUUGUAGUAGUUGAGCCCAGGCCUAAUCCAUUAGGGCAAAAUGAGACGUCUUAUGAAGCAGACUUUAAAUUUUCAGAGCUGGGGCAGGAUGUAGGCAGCUGAUGCAGAACAGUGACGAAAAAGAAAAAAGCUUCAGUAGGAGGAUGACUCCGAUAAAUCCAAAACAUAAAUGGAAUUGGUUUCCCAAACCACUUUCUUUCAUUCUGCUGUUAACAAUGCAGAAGAACGUACAGGAGAAUGUCUUCCCUGAGACGUGUAAUAAGAAAACCAUAUUAUAAGCUGCAAUCAGUGAAUUAAUAAAUUUUUCUUCCUUCUGUUUUAUGCACAUACCCACUGCCAUCAAGACUCUUUUAUACCAUUAACUUCCACUGAAUUAUUCCUGGAAUGAAACCCAAUAUAAAUAGCACAUUGUCUCCAUUGUCUUAUGGGUAUUAUUUACCUGUAUCCAAUCUCAUGAGGAUUGAUUCAAACAAGUGAGAGCUAAUAGAGAUUAUUAAAAUUUCCAAAGGGGAAACAAAAUCUUUCAAUUAUGUCAGUGUCCUCCCCCCACUUCUUCCUCAUAUAUUAGCUUUAAUUAAACAUUGCCAAUAAAUGUGAUGGUCAUCAAAAUUCAGAAAAGGAAGUAGGGGAAUACAAAAGGCAGAGUUGCAUGAAAAUGUAUUUCACUGCUAAUGGUUCGCAGGAAAGCAUUAAAGCACAAAAGGAAGCCUUGUAUAGUUGGAAAGCUAAAGAGGUAAAAGACAAAUAGAAUAGAUAGGAUAAGUUUGAAGGAUGGGAAUGGAAAGUCACUUUCCAAGGCUCUGGUAUUUUAAUACCAGAAUAGGUAAAGGUAAAGGUACCCCUGCCCGUACGGGCCAGUCUUGACAGACUCUAGGGUUGUGCGCUCAUCUCACUCUAUAGGCCGGGAGCCAGCGCUGUCUGCAGACACUUCCGGGUCACGUGGCCAGCGUGACAAGCUGCAUCUGGCAAGCCAGUGCAGCACACGGAACGCCGUUUACCUUCCCGCUGGUAAGCGGUCCCUAUUUAUCUACUUGCACCCAGGGGUGCUUUUGAACUGCUAGGUUGGCAGGCGCUGGGACCGAACGACGGGAGCGCACCCCGCCGCGGGGAUUCGAACCACCGACCAUGCGAUCGGCAAGUCCUAGGCGCUGAGGUUUUACCCACAGCGCCACCCACAUCCCACACAAUACCAGAAUAGCUUUUGUUAAAUAGAACAGAACAGAAUAGAAACAUUUUGUACUAAGUUCUUCUGGGGGAAAAAAACUUCCAUUAAGUUAUGCAUUUAAAACUAAUGAAUUAGAGUGAGAUUGCAUACAUUUAGAGAAAUAUUGGACCUGUGGUCUAAUCAUGUCCAUUCAGACCUAACAUCGAUCGAUUUAAAUUCUGUGAAUGCUUUGUAAUCAUAAGGUCUCCAUACUGAACCUCAAAUCUCUAGGUAUGCAGGUUUUCCUCAAAUGUAAUCUGAUUUUAAAAAGCAACAACAACUGAAGAAUCAGCGAUAACUUCCCUGGUUCUUGAGAAGAGAGAAGGGAUUGGAGAAAUGCAGAAAGAAAAAAGACAGAAAGUAAAGAAGGCAGAACUGAAUUGUUUAUAGACAGCCCAUCACAAGAGCAGUGAACAAUAUAUAACCAGGAAUGGUGAUACAAUCAGGCAUAGGCAUACUGGCCCCUCUAGAUGUUUUGGGACUACAACUCCCAUCAUCCCUAGCGAACAGGACCAGUGGUCAGGGAUGAUGGGAAUUGUAGUCGCAAAAACAUCUGGAGGGCCGAGUUUGCCUGUGCCUGAACUAUAUAAUACAAUAAAAACAAUGCAACACAACCAGAAAACAUUACAACAAUGCAACACAACCAGAGAACAUUAAAGAUAGUAAGGCUAUUGUAGGACAAGCCUGACUUUAAAUGCCCAGGCAGGCAGAAAAGUUUUGACUGGUUCAAAGAGUAUUGCAGUGAACAUCCAGUAGGGUGUGUUAUUUCUCCUGCAACUUCUGGAUCUAGUCAGAGAAAGGCAUACACUAUAUUGUUGUUUAGCAAUUGGAACCUUUUCACUUAUUACAAUUUCCCCCUCCAUUAACUGAUUCUCCAUAUCCAUUCUUCUCAGGACUAGGCCAGAAUAUUAUUUCUCUUUGGCAGGCAGCCCCCGCCCUUUCAUUCAGGCCCUGAAUUACAAAUGCCAGGAUCUCAAGAGAUAUGUGUGAUUUCUAAAAGCAUCAAACCAAGAUAAUGUGUCUGCUUCACACGGGUUGAGGUUGUGACAAACAGAAGGGUGGGAAACCUUUUUCAGCCUCAGAGUCACAUUCCCUAAUGAGGAACUUGUCAGGGGUUACAUUCCGUAGGUGAGAGGAAAACAAUGAACAGAUCCAUGGAAAAUGACCUCAGUCAGCUCACUGGGCAGGAAGAACAGGGUGCAAAUUUAAUAAAGAAUAAAAAUAAAUAAUCUUACCUACAUUCUGGCCACACAAAAGUCACCUACACUCACCUCUCCACUCUGCAUUUAGGCAAGCAAGAGGCAUUAUUGCCAUUCAAGAGCCCUGCUGGAUCAGACCAAAGGCACACCUAGUCCAAAAUCUUGUUUUCACAGCUGUCAUCCAGAUGCACAUGGAAGUCCCACUAGCAGAACUUCAGCGCAACAGUACUCUUCAUGCUUGCGAUACCCAGCUACUGGUAUUAAAGAGGAAUACUGCCUCUGCCAGUGGAGCUAGUAAGUAGCAGUCAUUGCUAAUGGCCUUUCAUAGUCUUAUCCUCCAUGACUUUGCCUAAUCUUCUUUUAAACAGUUCCAAGCUGGUGACCAGUACUGCAUCUUGCGGAAAGCAAAUUCCACGGUUAAAAUAUGCACUGCAUGAAGAAAUACUUUCUAAAAACCUGUCCUGAAUCUUCCAACAUUCAUCUUCAUUGGAUUUCCACAAGUUCUAGUGUUAGGAGAGAGCGAGGGAACGGCCCAAGGUGAGCUUCAUGGCCAAGUGGGGAUUUGAAUCCUGGUCUCCCAUGUCAAAAGGGAUGUGGGUGGCGCUGUGGGUUAAACCACAGAGCCUAGGGCUUGCCAAUCAGAAGGUCGGCGUUCGAAUCCCCGUGACGGGGUGAGCUCCCAUUGCUUGGUCCCUGCUCCUGCCAAUCUAGCAGUUCAAAAGCACGUCAAAGUGCAAGUAGAUAAAUAGGUACCACUCCAGCGGGAAGGUAAACGCCGUUUCCGUGUGCUGCUCUGGUUCACCAGAAGCGGCUUAGUCAUGCUGGCCACAUGACCCGGAAGCUGUACGCUGGCUCCCUCGGCCAAUAAAGUGAGAUGAGCGCUGCAACCCCAGAGUCGGUCACAACUGGACCUAAUGGUCAGGGGUCCCUUUACCUUUUAAUCCCACGUCAAUGCCUCUGAACAUGAGUUGCUGGGAAUCACAAGUGGGGAGAGUGCUGUUAAGUUCAUAUCUUGCUUGUGGGUUUCCCCAAGGUAUCGGUGCCUGGAUAGCUCCGUUGGCUAGACGAUGGUGCUGAUCAUGCCAAGGUUGCAAGUUUAAUCCCCAUAUGGGAAAACAGCAUAUUCCUUUAUUGCAGGGGGGUUGGACGAGAUGAUCCUUAGGCUCCCUUCCAACUCUACAAUUUGAUGGUGCCAUUUUUUCUAUGAUCUGUUUGGCCACUGUCAGAACAGGAUGCUGGACUUUGGCCUGAUCCAGCUAAGGCAGGCAUGUUCAAAGUCCGUUUUGGGGACCUAAUUCAGCCCGCCAGUUGGUUUAAUCUGGCCCCUAUGGCAGUUUAUUUCCUGGGGUAAAAUCCUAAAAAAAAAAGUCAACAACUCCAGUCCUAAAAACAGGUCAACAACUUUGGUCGGCCCUUUGGUCGGCCCUCACAGCCCUUCACUUCAUCAGAUCUGGCCCUCUUUGAAAAAAGUUUGAACACCACUGAACUAAGGGAUCCAAUGGUUGUAGCUAGAGAGAAGAGAUUUGGGCACUCACAUGACCUUGUAAUCAUUUUCUUCAGAAAAAAAUCUUACUCUUGUAAAAAAGAAUAUUUCCAUAUCCAUUAAGGUAAAGGUAAAGGGACCCCUGACCAUUAAGUCCAGUCGUGCCUAACUCUGGGGUUGUGGUGCUCAUCUCGCUUUCUUGGCCAAGGGAGCCGGCAUACGGCUUCUGGGCCAUGUGGCCAGCAUGACUAAGCCGCUUCUGGCGAACCAGAGCAGUGCACGGAAACGCUGUUUACCUUCCCGCCAGAGCGGUACCUAUUUAUCUACUUGCACUUUGACAUGCUUUCGAACUGCUAGGUGGGCAGGAGCUGGGACAGAGGAACGGGAACUCACCCCAUUGCGGGUAUUCGAACAACCAACCUUCUGAUCGGCAAGCCCAAGCUCAGUGGUUUAACCAACAGCGGCACCCUUAUAUCCAUUACACAGAGUCAUAAAAUGCUCCCCUGGCAUUGGACUGGAGCUAAAGGGGAAACCUCUUCAUUCCUAGAGCCACUUUAUCUUCUAGGCAACUUUCAGGGUCACAUACCAGUAUUGGGUGGGGCCAGAGAAAAAAAAAGAGGUUGAAGCAAUGGAUACCAUUUUACAUUUGUACAGUAGGCUUACUUCUACACACACUGAUGCUCUCCUCUGUAUCCUCCAUUCAGACAAGCAAGAGGCCUGGUUAGUGUUCAAAGACACAUACCAGCCAGACACAAGCAGUCCAAGAGGGUGCCAGGCAGGACUGGCAAGGGUGUGGCCUGAGAAGAGUCCCGAGGGCCAGGCACAGAGGCUCGGGCAGCCACAUUUGCCCUAUGGGCUUGAGACUCCCAUCCUUGGGCUAAAACAAAAAGGAUUAGUGGAUUCUUUAAUCAUGAAAGACCAUUUUCAGCAACUGCUUAAAACAUUUUUGUUUAGGCAAGCCUAACCAAACUGGUAUUAUUAUUAUUAUUAUUAUUAUUAUUAUUAUUAUUAUUAUCUCCCCUGCCUAUCCAAAUUGCCGAUGUGUUUUAAUUUCACUUCUUGUUAAUUAUAAUUAUUUUAAAAUGAUUUACAUUGUUUACAACGGUUUUUAUUGAUUAUUUUAAUAUUUAUUGUAAACUACUUAGAAGUGUUACUGUAAUCAAGCGGUAUAUACCGUAUUUUUCCAUCUAUAAGAUGUCCCCAUGUAUAAGACACCCCCUAUUUUGAGGGACUCAGAUUUAAGGAAAUGGGGAAAGAUGGCCCAGAGUAUAAGAUACCCCCUAAUUAUUGACAUUAUUUUUUAGGAAAAAACCUAGUCUUAUACACGGAAAAAAACAGUAAAUUUUGCUAAACAAACAAAUAGUGGGUAGAAUAAGAUUCUUGGAUAAUCAUUAAGUGGAGAACUAUAAAUCAUAAAACACUUUGUACAUGCACAGCUUCCUCUCAAAUAUCUUAGUGACAGCGGGUGCAAUCAUCUCAGAACUUCUGUCCUCUAGACUUUCCAUUCGCUUUAAUGGGGGUUGUGUAGGAGAUGUUGCCAGUGGAUUUUGCCUUGUGUUUUAGAAGUUUUACUAUUAACUCUAUAUUUGAUUUUAUCUGAUUAUGACAUAAAUGCAGGCACAUUAAGUGGGCUGAUGUCAGCAAUCAGGACUGCUUGUUACACAACAUCAGUAACAGGGACUCAGGUGUGAAACAACUGUAAUUAUAGGUAUUUAGCCCAAAUGUACGUCAGUUGUAACUGAUUAGCUGUGUGAGUCUUUAUAGUUAAUUGAAAUACUUUAUCAAUGAAUGUCUUGACUUAGCAGCAAUACUAACAACAUAAACAUGAGAUUCAGCUGACAGGAGAAAGAGUUCCCUCCAUGUUAAUGUGCUUAUUCCUCUUGCCCAUUUUCUUUCAUUUUCACCAUGUUGCUUCAUCUGGGGCUGGGGCCAAGUCAUGGCGCAGAGUGAUGAUGCCAGAUGUGCCUGCUAAGGAAAACUGCACAUCAAGGACAAAACUAUGACAUAGAUGGAAAGGCGAGCCAUUGUGGUGUAGCGGCACCUUUUCUCAACCUUGGGUCCCCAGAUAUUGUUGGACUACAACUCCCAUCAUUCCUAGCUACCGGGACCAGUGGUCAGGGAUGAUGGGAGUUGUAGUCCAACAACAUCUGGGGACCAAAGGUUGAGAAAGGUUGGGUUGGCAGGGGUGGCCAACUCCCGAGAGACUGCAAUCUACUCUCAGAAUUAAAAACUGGCAGUGAUCUACCCCCUUUUUUGGGGUUCAGGUCUAAGUUGUUGAUCUUUUAUUAGGGUGGAGGAAAGACCCGUUUUUAGGGGUGCAGGGCAAAGUUGUUAAGCUUUUAUUAGGGAGGAGGAAAGUCCUGAUUUUUGAGAAUUCAAGCCUAAGCUCAGUGUUAGUUUCUGUUUCCUCACUGUGCAGCUGCUUGCAGUCACAGGACUCUGUUUACAUUCCACAGAGUCCAGAUACUAGAAGUGGAAGCCCCACUCAGCCAUGAAACUCACUGGGUGAUUUUGGGCCACUCAUUCAUUAUCAGCCUAACCUACAUUACAAGGUUGUUGUAAGAAUAAAAUGGGGGAGGGGGGAAGGAGAACAAUGAGCCUGGUGCUCCUUGGAGGAAAGAUGGGAUUGAUUGAUUGAUUGAUUUACUGUGACGCCCUUCAUCCAAGGAUCACAAUGCAGUUUACAAUAUAAAAACACAAAAAUACAUACCAUAGUAGCUAACAAAAACAAGACCCCCCAACACCACUUUAAAAGACAAUAGAUCGCUUAAUUAGCCAAAGGCCUGGGAGAAGAGGAAGGUGCCAGGUGAGCCUCCCUUGGGAGAGUAUUCCACAAGCAGGGAGGCACCACAGAAAAGGCUCGUUCUUGUGUUGCCACCCUCCAGGCUUCUUGCAGAGCAGACACACAAGGAAGGACCUCAGAUGAUGAUUACAGCAUCCAGGUUGGUUCAUAUGGGGAAAGGCGGGUCCCUGAGGCACUGCAGUCCUGAGCUGUUUAAGGCUUUUAACAAUGAAAUACAUAAAUGAUAUGAAUGUGACCAACAACUUCCUUUUAGACCUCAUUGCAUGGCACUUCUUCCCAGGGAGCAACUCCAAGGCAGAGGGCCCUAUAUUGAUACAGAUCAGCAUGACCCAACUUUUCUCCAAGAGUGUCCAAGGCCUACUUUGAAGUAUAUUAUGCUGCAGAUCACUCAAAGGAGGCAGGCAUUUAAUUCUACCAUUGAGCUUGGAAGCAGACUUCUGACAUGAGAAAUCUGUCGCGCCGCACCUCUCCAGUCGCCAAGACCAUACCCUCCAACAUUUCUCAGAUGAAAAUAGGGGCAUUUCUCACCCCAUUUUUUGUCCCCCAUAAGCAUUUUGUAUCCGAAUAAGGGUGAAUGCCUCUACCACUACCCCCAAAGGGUCACAGCACACACAAACACACCAUUCACUACCCUGAGAAAACCACUUAAUCCUGGUUUUAUUUUAUUCUUUGUUAGAAUGACAAACAGAAAUGCACACUAAUAAAUAAGUUUUAGAAAGGGCAAGAUUAGAUGUGGAUGUACAAAGCAUUUUUUAAAAAUAUAAAUCAAAACUCCUUGUGUUCUGCUCCUCCUUUCUUCCUGCUUCACAGAAUUGGCAUGCCAUGCAAAGCUGGGUCUCAGUGGCUGCAGCUUCACUGCUUACAAGCAGCCACUACAAGCUGCUCAAAGGAGGAGGUUGGCAGUGGCCACCAUGUGGAGGCCAUGGAGAGGCAACAGGAUGUUCUCUCACAGCUGCCACCAUCGCUCGGGACAAACGCCUGCUCAGCCUCUUCCCUGAGCUCGGUGGCGGCAUUGGCAAGGGAAAUUGGGAUAUUCCAGGAUCAAAUCAGAAGCCAGGAUGGCUUUCAUAAUUCCAGGAUUCUCCCUGGAAAAUAGGGACACUUGGAGGGUAUGCAAGACUCUCCAUUCCCUUAGUUGAUGGCCAUGGAGGGAACUGUGUGUGUUUGUGUUUGUUGUCCAGCAGUGUGGAACAGGAUGAGAUAUUAAGCAACGCGACACAUGUAAUCUAGCUAAUCUUGUUUUGAUCUCUGUAAUCAGAUUAAAACUGAUCCCUAGUGGGUUUUGUAAGAGAUGUGCUACAAUGAAGUAUUGAUGUACCCUGCUCAAUCCAAGAGAAGUGGAGCUCUCUAGACCUAAGGCCCAGAAUACCAGAAAGUUAUGGAGUUAAAGCCAUCGUAAUCACUGCAUCUGAAGAAGCAUAACUCCACCAUUAGCCAAUUUACUGAGAAAAGCAGCCCAUUUUUAAUUAAAUUAAAGCCAGUGUGGUGUAGUGGUUAAGAGCGGUAGUCUCGUAAUCUGGGGAACCGGGUUCGCGUCUCUGCUCCUCCACAUGCAGCUGCUGGGUGACCUUGGGCCAGUCACACUUCUCUGAAGUCUCUCAGCCCCACUCACCCCACAGAGUGUUUGUUGUGGGGGAGGAAGGGAAAGGAGAAUGUUAGCCGCUUUGAGACUCCUGAAGGGGAGUGAAAGGCGGGAUAUCAAAUCCAAACUCUUCUUCUUCUUCUUCUUCUUCUUCUUCUUCUUCUUCUUCUAAAUUGGUGGAAACCUUUGACUUAGUAAUAGGGCACACCACUGAUAUCUAUACAUUCAUGUGUGCUACAUGUCUGUUUAUUCCAGCUCUGGCCUUGCCUGCUUUGACUCCACCCACUUUUAUUGGCCCCGCCCAUGCAGCCCCUGAAAAAUAGAUCAUGAGGGAAUCAUAGACUCAUAGAAGCAGACCCUCCAAGUGUCCCUAUUUUCCAGGGAUGUCCCUGAUUUAGAGAAGCUGUCCGAAUUCUGAUUUGAUCCCGGAAUGUUCCACUUUUCCUUAGGACGUCCCUCUUUUCAUUGGAGAAACAUUGGAGGGUAUGGUAGGAUGUUCCUAUUUUCAUUGGAGAAAUACUGGAGGGUGUGGAGUUAUCUGACUCCCGAGUCGUCUGAAGGCAAUCCUGUAUAGGGAAGUUUUUUUAAAAAAAAUAAUUGAAUGAUUUAUUAUGUUUUUAUGUAAGUUGGAAACUGCCCAGAGUGGCUGGGGCAACCCAGUAGGAUGUGUGGGGUAUAAAUAGUGCAAUUAUCAUUAUAGAAUGAGACAUCCCUAUUUUCACUGGAGAAAUGUUGGAGGGUAUGAGAAUGUAGAAUGAGAAAAUGGUUUGAAGCUCAAAAUCAAAAAAACGAAGAUCAUGGCCACUGGUCCCAUCACCUCCUGGCAAAUAGAAGGGGAAGAAAUGGAGGCAGUGAGAGAUUUUACUUUCUUGGGCUCCAUGAUCACUGCAGAUGGUGAGAGCAGCCAUGAAAUUAAAAGAUGCCUGCUUUUUGGGAGAAAAGCAAUGACAAACCAUCUUAAAAAGCAGAGACAUCACCUUGCCAACAAAGGUCCGUAUAGUUAAAGCUAUGGUUUUCCCAGUAGUGAUGAAUGGAAAUGAGAGCUGGACCAUAAAGAAGGCUGAUCGCCGAAGAAUUGAUGCUUUUGAAUGAUGGUGCUGGAGGAGAUUCUUGAGAGUCCCAUGGACUGCAAGAAGAUCAAACCCAUCCAUUCUGAAGGAAAUCAGCCCUGAGUGCUCACUGGAAGGACAGAUCAUGAAGCUCAGGCUCCAGUACUUUGGCCACCUCAUGAGAAGAGAAGACUCCCUGGAAAAGACCCUGAUGCUGGAAAAGAUGGAGGGCACAAGGAGAAGGAGAUGACAGAGGACAAGAUGGUUGGACAGUGUUCUCGAAGCUACCAGCAUGAGUUUGACUAAACUGCGGGAGGCAGUGGAAGACAGAAGUGCCUGGUGUGCUCUGGUCCAUGGGGUCACGAAGAGUUGGACACAACUAAACAACAACAACAAGAACAACAACAAAUGAGAAUGUAGAGCUGGAAGUGAGCCUGAGCAUCAUCUAGUUCAAUCCUCUGCAAUGCAGGAAUCCUGUCCACAGCUGUCCCUAGGUGGGCCUGAGAUACACUGACCCAUUAUGUCACUGGAGCAGCAAAACAUUAAAAAGAGCCUGCUGGAUCAUUCCAGUGGUGCUUCUAGCCCAGUAUCCUGUUCACACAGUGACCAAGCAGAUGACUGUAGGGAACUCACAAACAGGACCUCAGCACGAGAGCAUUCUGCUCUCCUGUAAUUUCCAGCAACUGGUAUUCAAAGGCAUAAUGCCUCUGAUAGUAGAACACAGCCAUUGCAGCUAAUACACCUUGAUAGCCUUACCCCCCAUGAAUGUGAUGCAAUCCUCUUUUAAAGCCAUCCAAGUUGGUUGCCAUCACUGCCUCCUGUGGCCACCAAGUUCCAUAGUUUAAACCAUGCACUGUGUGAAGUACUUCACACUAUUCUAGGCUGCAUCAAUAGAAGUACAGUGCCUAGAUCAAGGGAAGUAAUAGCACCACUCGCGGGUGCCGCUGUGGGUUAAACCACAGAGCCUAGGACUUGUCGAUCAGAAGGUUGGCGGUUCAAAUCCCCAUGAUGGGGUGAGCUCCCGUUGCUCGGUCCCUGCUCCUGCCCACCUAGCAGUUCGAAAUCAUGUCAAAGUGCAAGUAGAUAAAUAGGUACCGCUCCGGCGGGAAGGUAAACGGCAUUUCCGUGCGCUGCUCUGGUUUGCCAGAAGAGGCUUAGUCAUGCUGGCCACAUGACCCGGAAGCUGUACGCCGGCUCCCUCGGCCAAUAAAGCGAGAUGAGCGCCACAACCCCAGAGUCGGCCACGCCUGGACCUAAUGGUCAGGGGCCCCUUUACCUUUACCUUUAUUCUAUUUCUAGUCCUGAUAGACCUACAUUGGCUCCCUUUACCUUUACCUAUUCUGCCUUAGUCAGACCACACUUGGAAUAUUGUGUCCAAUUCAGGGCACCAAAAUUUAAGGAGGAUGUUGACAAGCUGGAACGUGUACAGAGCAUAGCUUUUCUUGCGAGGAAUCCUAUUUGGAAUAAGGGAAUUUUCCUUAAAAAAAGGGAAACGUUGACAGCUAUGGUACAGAGGAGGGCAACCAAGAUGAUCAAGGGUCUGGAAACCAAGCCUUAUGAGAAACGGUUGAGGGAGCUGGGUAUGUUUAGCCUGGAAAAGAGGAGACAGAGGAGAUAUGAUAGCUAUCUUCAAAUAUCUUAAGGGCUGUCACAUGGAGGAGGGCGCAAGCCUGUUUUCUCUUGCUCUGGAGGACUCAAACCAAUGGCUUCAAGUUACAAGAAAGGAGAUUCCAACUAAACAUCAGGAAGAACUUUCAGAUAUUAUGUGAGGUAUUUUUUUAUUUUAUUUUAUAUUCUUUAUUGAAAAAUAAAAAGUACAAAAGUACGAGUGCGCAGAAACAAGUGCACAGACACAAAAAACUGAAGAAACAAAAAAUAGUAUGCUUUUAAAAAACAGAACAGAACAAUAUUGUGUACAUUACAAAAAGGGGGCGGGCUUGUUAUUAUAGUUAACCAGACCUUAAUCUAAUUUGGCAUUUAUAAAAACGAAUUCCAAAUGAAUUCCAAAUAUCGUUAAACUUGUCCAUGGCGAGUCUACAUUUGUAAGGUAUGUCAAGGAGAGAGAUAAUGACUGGCUCAACAUUAUACAGCUCGCUUCACGGCUGAGAGGGAACUUGCAUCCCAUCGAUCCAAGUCCAGCCACAGCACCACAGUGGGCCCGCAGCUGAGAAUUAUUAGAAGCUAUUUGAAGCGAUAAUGAAACAGCAGAAGCAGCAUUGUUAAGGACGAUAUAAUGAAUUAAUCCUAUGAAAGCCUUUAACGUUCCCAAACAGAGGCAGUCAUGGGAAGAGCUUCAUCUGUUGAAUUUCCGCCAGCAACACAGCUGUAAAAUUCACAAAAAUCCACCCAGGAGAGAGAGAGAGAGAGAGAGAGAGGGGGGGGGGAGGGAGGGAGGUAAUAAUCCCAAUGAGCUUCCAAAUAAAUGAACACAUAGCCUGGAGAUGCGUCAGUGGAAGAAGAUGCUUCAUAAGAAAUGCAGCUUGCUUAUUUAAAGGUACUUUUUCAGGCUCCUUGCCAAGAUUUUUCUAAGAGCUGCUCCUUGAAGUAGCAGCCUGGAAGUGAAAUAUCAACUAGGCAGGGCCCUCAUAUGGCUGUGUAUGCACGCUUUGUAAUAACUGCUGUUACCCUGAUUUUUUUUCAAGAAAUGUCUCCAAUGAAAGCUCAAUUUUUAAUAGCAAUGCAAGCUUGUUUGUUUCCAUGAUUGCAGCUGUAAAUAAGAAAACAACAUUGCCCCGGGGGCACUGAUGCAAGGGGGGAGGGGAAGCAUUGUUUAAUGUGGGUUUUCUUUGGAGACCCAGCAUUCCCCCCCCCUUGAGGGCAAUGUGUAGACAGGCUAUGCAAAUUACAGCUCCCCCAGCACAGUGAGAAAGGGGCCUCUCUCCAUCCAGCUCAUAUUAAGGCAGCCUGAAAUGGAGAUUAACAAGCUUGGUAAUUAGGCAAGCUGAAAGCCUUCCUAACACAUUGCACCUUUCCAAGGCUGUGUGUUGAUUAUUAUUACCUCAACACAAUGGCCUCCAAGUACAGUUCAAUGAUUUAAAUAUAAAGCACAAACUAGGCACCCACCUUUGCACAGGUUUGGUAGAGGUAUGUGGCUGAAAGAGCAGGCUGGGCUACCCCCCCUUUUUUGCAAAAACAAAAUCAGUGAAUAGAAGUAUUCCAUUUGAAUAAGGUAUUAGUGGAGCUGGACAGCAACUAUCUCAGCAAUAUUCCUUAGUAUGGGGGUUGCUACAUUUUUUUCUCCGAACCUGGAAGACCUAUUUUCACAGCUGUGUGAUGGGCAGAAAUUAAACCUCUUUCUUCAUCAGUCCAUCUCUCCCCCCCCCCCCCCCACAAAACUCACCUAGUGAAUUUCCACUUGAUGCAAUUAAAAGCAGCAGAGCCUUGCUGGAAUAGAGCGGCAACUCUAUUUUUUAGACUGAGCAAAGGUGUAGCAAAGGAAUGUUUCCAUGGAGCUCUUGAACCCAUUGAUUGGUCUUCAGAUGCCCUUCAAACGAUCUUUUGGAAGACCCGGGUUUUUUUUGGUACAAUCCUGGAUCUGUCAGCUGUAUAAGAGACAGUGAAAAAUGUUCCACACAGGCAGAGUGCUCAUUAAUGGUUCCUCACUGUCCUGGAAAAAAGUGACAAGUGGAGUUUCAAAGGGUUCUGUCCUGGGCCCAUUGUUGUUCAACAUAUUUAUAAAUGCUUUGGAUGAAGGUAUUGCAGGGAUGCUCAUCAAAUUUGCAGAGGACACCAAACUGGGAAGGGCAGCCAAUGCUGCUGAAGACAGCAUCAGGAUUCAAGUUGACUUGAAUAGAUUAGAGAAGUGGGCCAAAACUAACAAGAUGAAUUUAAUCAUGGACAAAUGUAAGGUUCUAUACUGAGGCUGCACAAAUAUAAGAUUACAGACAUCUGAGCUGCCAGUAGUACAUGUGAAAAGGAUCUUGGGGUCUUAGUAGACCAAAAGCUUAACAUGAGUCAACAGUGUGAUGCAUUAGCAAAAAAUGAGCUAAUUCUAUUCUAGGUAGCAUCAACAAAAGUAUACAAUCCUGAUCAAGGGAAGUAAUAGUGUUGCUCUGUUCUGGAUUGGUCAGAUGACACCUGGAAUACUGUGUCCAAUUCCGGGCACCAUAAUUUAAGAAGGAUAUUGACAAGCUGGAAAGUGUACAGAGAAGGGCACAAAAUGAUCAAGGGCCUGGAAACCAAGCCUUAUGAUGAACAGUUGAAGGAGCCUGGUAUGUUUAGACUGGAAAAGAGCAGACUGAAAGGAGAUAUCUUAACCAUCUUCAAAUAUCUCAAGGGCUGUCACAUGGAAGAGGGAACAAGCUUGUUUUCUUCUGCUCUGGAGACUAGGACCUGAACCAGUGGAUUCAAGUUACAAGAAAGGAUAUUCUGAUUAAACAUCAGGAAGAACUUUCUGACAAGAGCUGUUUGACAGUGGAAUGGACUUCCUCAGGAAGCUGUGGACUCUCCUUCCUUGCAGGUUUUAAAGCAGAGGUUGGAUGGUCAUCUGUCAUGAAUGCUUUAAUUGAGAUUCCUGCAUUGGAAUGACCUCGAGGUCCCUUCCAACUCUACAAUUCUAUGAUUCCCUGCAUUAUUUGGCUUGGCUGGUUUGUUCCAGUCAUUUGGAACUCUGUGCUCUAGAAGCAUUUUAUUUUGCUGCAGCAGAGCUGAUUGCUUGUUGGCGCAUUCUAUUUUAGGCUCUGUAGGCUGACAUAGUGGACAGCUGAUGGGUGCAUUUGUUUAUUUCCAGCCUUAAAAAAAACCCAACCCACAUGAUUUGCCUACAUGGUUACUCAAAGCAAGAAAUAAAAAUGCACAAAACUACAGUAACUAACAAUGGAAAUCCUGCAAUCAAAGAGAGUAAACAACUAGCAAAGAGUACUAAAAUAAGUCAUGCCUAAAAACAACCUCUACUGAACCAAAAACCUUAUUUUAUGAGGUUCGCUAGAGCUCUGAAGGUCAAAAUGGAGCUGGCCAGAUGGGUUAGAGAGUUCCAGAUCUGUCAUCAAGUUCCAGAUCUGCCAGAUAGUUUCUUUAAAUGUGACAUCCUCUGUUAAAAGGUGAUGCAAGAGGUUAUGGAAAGGACACUGCGUUUUUCUUAUUAAGAGAUGAAUACUGAGGGGAAACAAGAAAGGGGAACUGUGUGUGUCCAAAUGGUGUCUGAGAGUGGCCAGAGAAAAGUUCUUCUCCCUCUGUUAUAACACUUGAACUGUAUCAACCUCCUAUGAAGAUGAAUGUUGGAAGAUUCGGGACGGAUAAACAAAAGUACUUUUUACAAGCAGUGCAAAAUGGAACUUCCUCCCACUAGAGAGGAACUUAAAUGUCUUUAAAAGGGGAUUGGACAAAUUCAUGGAGGAGAGGGCUAUUGAUGACUGGAAACCACAGAAGGGGAGGGUGCUCUUGGGCUCAAAUUCUGCUUGCUGGCUUCCCAAAGGCAUCUGGUUAGACUAGAUGGGCCAUUGGUCUUAUCUAGCAGGCUGUCCUUAUGCAGGCAGCCAACCACCGAGACCCUGUAGUUGCCUCAUGCUGCUGUGGCCUGUCUUCCUCUUGAGGUGGGUUGCCUGCCCAGGUCAUGUGCUCCUAAUCAAGCUAUUCUCCCCUCGCCCUCCCCUCCCUGAACUUCUAAUUAAACGUAGCAGUCUUGAGAGAUCAAGCCAUACAUCCCCCUUUUAAAAUCACACCCUGGUUUGUAUUGGCUGCUGCGCAAGGCUGAGAAUGGAUAUUACAGCUUUUUAUGAUAUAAUAUCCCCUUAAUUGGUGCUUCAUAGGGCUGCGCCUGAAAUUCUUGUCCAUUUCAUCCUAAAACUCCAGCCUGCGAUUUUCUCCCUGACCUCAGCGUGCUGGAAAAAGCCAUUCAGAGGCAACAAGGCGACUGGUAUUGCACAAUUCCAAAGUACCUUAAUGUGUCAAAAAUGUUUGGGGGAAGAAAGCGCCACUGUAAAUGCAAUCACCUACAUUGGUGUCCCCUUUGUCAAGCGAGAGGCAAAGUAUUGCUAAUUGUCCUGCGUUUUAGCAGGGUUUUUAAAGCAUUAUGUAGUAAGUACACCGAAGGGUCAAUUUGUGAAGUGAAAUACUUAGCAUGCAAAGCGUCAUACAAGAUGCUGUGUAAUACUUGACCUCUCAGCAUAAUAAAUGUAGCAGUGAAACGCUGUGCAUUCAGCCGGGCCUGAAUAGAGCCUCCGCAGAGGAACAAAACCAGAAAAUGUUCUCUUCAUUCCCUUCCCUUUUUUUCCACUAAGCGAAAAUUAUUCUUUAUAAUGGCCAUUGCAGCAAUUAGCCAGCAUUUCGGAGGGUGGGGGGAGAGAAAGGGAGAGAGAGAAGGAGAGAGAAGGAGGGAGAGAGGGAGGGAGAUGGCGAAUAAAUGUGCAGAAAUAGCAAAUUUCUUAGUGGAAACGGGAGUUUGUAUGGAGGGCUGCAAAUUACUUGGAGGUAUGUGAAUAAUGGUGGCCCGAGUUCUCCCUGCUGCAGAAUAUGGUGUGGGUGGGUCUACAGAUUUCCUCUUUGCAGCAAAAUGUUUAGACAUUUGACUAUUUUAAUUUUACUCACAGUCUGGCUCAAUUGACCUUGUUUCCCCCCAUUGAUCAUUUCUUGUGUGCCUUGGAAGCAAGCGUGCACAUGACCGGGGGGGGGGGGGGCUUCCAAUUAGAGCCGUGUGUGACAUGCAAGUACAAUCAAGGGCUGUCCACUGAAACUGCUCCAGGAUUUUAAAUCUGGCUUCCCAGAUCAAUACAUUUUAAUAAUUCAGCAUGCUUAGCGAGCAAUUGCAGGUCUUUGCAACGGACUGCCUAAUUAAAGUUUGAUUUAUAUUUUUAUUUUUUAAAAAAGUUUAACUUUCCGAAAGUUUACCUUCUCAACAACAACAACAACGUAAAGCCCAGCUUCUUUAUCAAAAGCGUGGGAAGAGGCACUAACACCUCUCGUUAACUGUAUCAUCCAGACAGUGAGCAAAAUUUUGGGAAGUUGCAUUAAAAAAAUGUUGUGCAUGCACACACACUCUCAAAAGUUUGGCAAGUCCCUGGUGGUUUGGUGCAGUUUCUUUUGUCUCUGCGAAAAUAAAGGAGUUUCGUGCACAGCAGCCGGAGCAAAGCAUUAUUGCUUCUGAACAAGGACAGAUAUCAAGCGUUUUCUUUAAAACCACUGCAUCAUUUAUGUGUAAGGCAUAACUUCGUUUAAAAACAGCUAGUUCUCUAUUUUAAUCUCUCCCUCCCCCUUCCCUAAUUGCCUCUGCUAAUGAGUUUCAGCAGUUGCCUCUGACAGUAGUCAUGGGGUGAUUGGUGUUCUUCCUUACAAGCAGUUAUUUCACCUAAUGCAGAUGUGAGUAUCUGCUUUUUCAAUAAUAUUGAAGUCCUUAUCAUCUAGAGUUUAAGGAUUGCAUAAGAUUUAAUGGGCAAUUCAUUUAGUGUUUUCCACAUGGCUAUUUACAGAUAUGGUAGGGGUUUUUUGGUUGGUUGGUUUUUUAACAGAAGGUGGGUUUGGAAUAAAGCAUCUCAGUGUUAUUUUUUAUUAUUUAAAUUUUAAAAGAUUCUGAACUCUUCAAAAAGACAAAGCACAAAGAAAGUUCCCACGCCUGCAAAACCACAAAAUGGUUGGAAAUAGUUGAAAGCAAAAAUGGUUGAAAGCAAUAGAGAGGUUUGAUUAGGAUCCUCUGCUAAUAUGGAUUUCUGUGCAUUGCAUAUUUUAAUUGCAGCUGUCUCCAGUGAAAAGGGUUCUACGUAUACUGAUAAACUUGUUGUCAAUUAUUUGUGUUUCAUUUGAUUCAUAAUGUGUUUAAGGGUGAUUUUAUAAAGGAUAAAUGAAUGGUCUGUAUUACUUGGUGUAGAGAAGGUUCCCUUCAUUAUCAAAUAAUGUGAACUGUAUUCAAAUGCUUUAAUAUUUUAAUUAAUCAAUUCCUUUCAUGGCAGCAAAUGCAAUUAACCAAAAUAUUCUAUGCACUAGACAAUUCUACAAAAGACUGGAGAACCUUACAAUCAAAAUGCUUUUUCAGCUGCCUAAGGAUAAUCAUCUUUUCUCCCUAUCUAGUGUAAGUUUAUUUCCAGAAGAUAAAACAAGCAUUGGCUAUGAAUGGAAGAGAAUUUGGCACCGGAUAGUAAGUAUCAAAAAGUAUGACCUAACAUUUGACUUAAAGUCCCCAUAGAACAUGAAUAGCCAGUGAAUUAUGAAACUUCCAUAAGGUAAACAUGGAACUAUCUUUGCCUGAAGGUCUACAAAAGCCUAGAUCUUAGCAUCUUCUGAAAGAAGUGUGAAAAGGUACUGUUCUAAGUGCAUUAACUUGAAAGUAAGUCUACCUAUAUUUCCAUACAAGAGAAUAGUCAAGGUGCCAUACCACGGUAAGAAUAUACAACUAGGGAGGCCUGAUGAAAAAGAGAACAGGAGUCCCACCCUCUUUUUAUUUUUUAUUUUUAUUUUUUUGCAUCUGGCUAUCCUAGAUGCAGCAACAGCAACAACAAAGUAGCUAAAGUAGAAUCUUAAAAUAACUGUGAAAACAAGCAACACCAGUAAGACGGCAACUAUGUAAAAGCACCAGCAGACAGCAGCAAUAAAAUACAUCAUAUGGAGCCCACAAAUAGAAACUGUUUUAGUGAGAAAGGAAAGGAAAGGAAAGGAAAGAGGGAAACUUUGGAGGCUAUUCCCUAAAUUGGGUGCCAGCACCAAUAACCACAUGUCUCUCAUUUCCACAACAGCUACAACAAGGGUGUUUGUUUACACAUCACAAAAAAAGGUUUCCACAAAAUUUGCAAAUGCUAAUUUAUAUGUAAGAUGGAUAUUUUACAACAACAACAACAACAACAAUUUAUUAUUUAUACCCCGCCCAUCUGGCUGGACCCCCCCCCACUGGGUGGCUCCCAACAUAAUACUAAAAACACGAUAAAAGAUCAAACAUUAAAAACUUCCUUAAACAGGGCUGCUUUCAGAUGUCUUCGAAAAGUCAGAUCAUUGUUUAUUUCCUUGACAUCUGAUGGGAGGGUGUUCCACAGGGUGGGCGCCACUACCGAGAUGGUCCGCUACCUGGUAACUUUGCUUCUUGCAGAGUGGGAACCACCAGAAGGCCCUUGGAGCUGGACCUCAGUGUCUGGGCUGAAUGAUGGGGGUGGAGACCCUUCUUCAGGCAUACUGGGCUGAUGCCAUUUAGGGCUUUAAAGGUCAGCAGCAACACUUUGAAUUGUGCUCACAAACGUACUGGGAGCCAAUGUAGGUCUAUCAGGACUAGAAAUAGAAUAAAGGUAAAGGUAAAGGGGCCCCUGACCAUUAGGUCCAGUCAUGGCUGACUCUGGGGUUGCGGCACUCAUCUCACUUUAUUGGCUGAGGGAGCCGGCGUACAGCUUCCGGGUCAUGUGGCCAGCAUGACUAAGCCGCUUCAGGCAAACCAGAGCAGUGCACGGAAACGCCGUUUACCUUCCUGCCAGAGGGGUACCUAUUUAUCUACUUGCACUUUGACGUGCUUUCGAACUCCUAGGUUGGCAGGAGCAGGGACCGAGCAACAGGAGCUCACCCCGUCAAGGGGAUUCGAAUCGCCGACCUUCUGAUCGGCAAAUCCUAGGCUCUGUGGUUUAACCCACAGCGCCACCCACGUCCCAUAUAUAGAAUACAAAUAGAAUACAACUCAUCUAAGUGAGGAAGACGGGGACUAGGAAACCCAUUGGUCUGGUGUCAAGGUGCUAAUGGUUGAUACAGUGGCGUAGCGUGGGGAGUGCAGGGGGGGCCGGCCGCACCGGGCGCAACAUCUGGGGGGGCGCGCUCGCACUCGCAGCUCUCUGCCCCUACCUGGCUCACUCUCUCUCUCUCACUGCAGUGCUGGCUGUGCGAAUCCGAUCCGAGCCGCUGGGUCGCCGCCCACUGUGGAGGGGGUGGGUGCCAGGCGUGCGGUGCGGAGAGAGAGCGAGGGACUAUCUGGGGGAGGGACAGUGCAGCGGCCGCCCAGCGCAGCGCUGAGCGCGGGAGAGAACCACACCAGACCAGACCAGGCAGCAGCAAGAAGAAGCUGGCAGCGGCGGCAGGUUAGGGGUUGGGGGGCGCAAAUUACUUGCCUUGCCCCGGGUGCUGAUAGGCAAGUUGAUGCCUUCUUUAAACUUGAUAGCUCUCUAAUCCUUUAAACAGAGGACUGUCCACUGUAAGGUAGGCCACACGACUUCCCCAGCCAUGCCUAAGUUGGUGGAGAGGCAACAAGAAAAGUCUCAAAAAAUAUUUUCACUGAUUUUAAUAUAUUAUUAUAUUGUAAUCUGCCCUGGGAUCUUAUGGUGAAGGGUGGUUAAGAAAUUCUAUGAACCAGCCAACCAAAGACCUGGGAAGGGGUGAUACAGAAUUGAUUCCUGAGUUUGAAUGAAUCAGCAAGAUUCAGCCGCUCCCUUUCCAUGUGUGAGAGGGAAAUAUUUUGCUUCUGUAUUGUGGCUGGGAGGGAAAGCAUUCCAUGCCUUCCAUGGGCAGUGGCCUGGAUGCUGAGACCAAGGCACAGCUCCAAGUCACUGGCUGCGAGCUCAUGUUCCAGGCCACCAGGAUCCUGCUGAGGCUCUGUGUUUUUAUUGCAGCUUCUCCCUCCUGCCUGGUGAACUCAACUAGCUCCUCUGCUUGCUCCCCUCAGAAGCUGGCUCGUGCUCUGCUGCCAUGUUGGCCAAGGUGUGGCUGAAGAAGAUGGAGCAGCUGUUGGUGGAUGGCCUGCAGCACAGAAAGAGCAUCCUGAGCAUGGAGUGGCUGCUGGACCUCCUGGUCAGCCUCUACAAAGAGUGCAGUUGCAACUCAUUGCUGAAGAGGGAAGACUCGUCUCUCCUUCAUCCAGUGGGAACGGACCUAUUGAUUAUUGACAGCAAUGUGGGUGAGUUCCUCAGCAACAGUGCCUGAGCAGGCUACCUGGAGUUCACCUUCCGACUGGUGUGAGAGCCUCACUAUCUCCAUCAUGGCCCACAACCUGAGGACCCCAGCUGGUGCAGCUGGGUUAACAACAGGCAUUAUGUGUAUUUUAUGUGUAUUUUAAUGAACUGAAUAAAGUUCAGUUCAGAUCAUGGGGGCAUGGAGAGUGAACUUAACAGUUAAUAUAAACUUAAAAGCUUCCUUUUUUUUUAGUUGCUAUUUUAUUAAUGUUGUUAAUAUUGUUUUAUGGAUUAUAAAUGCCCUACUGAUUUGUUAAUGAUAUAAUAUGACUUUGCUGUAAUUGUGGUGUAUUUUUUAGUUGCUGCUGUUAAUAGUGUUUUAUAGAUUGUAAUUGUUUUAUUGAUGAUUUGUUAAUUAUUUUAUAUGAUUUAUGCUGUAUUUGUGAUGUUCUAUUAUGUUAUUUUUAUUUAUUGUUUCUAAGUCACUUUGAGAUUCCUUUGAAUGAAAAGCGACAUAGAAAUACAAUAAAUCAAAUAAAAUAUUUGAAGUUGUUGAACAAUUUUUGAAAAAUAUGAUAGAAAUGCUGUUUUAAGAUCUGAAGGGCUAUCAUGUUUUGUGAUAAGGCCUACUUAAUGAAAUACUUCUUUUCAAAAGAGAAAGAUUUUGGGACACUGCCACCACAUGUGGAUAAAUAAGUAUUCAUUGUUGAAAGUUUUUAUGCCACUCUAUGUAUUUUCUGUCAUGCUGAAACUUAACAGUCUAAAAUAAGUGUAAUGAUCGGUAUCUGCUUUCUAAAAUUAAUAAACAUUUCCCUCCACACUUACUUGUGGUUUUUAAAACUCAGUUAUUGUACAUUGGGUUUUAAAAGUUAUAUGCUCAUAGCAUAUGAAAAAUACCAAGACUUAAGAAUAUAUUUACUUUACCACCAGUUGCUUAUUAACCUAGUCCUCUGGGCAAUGUGCAACAAUGCUACAAAAUUAAAACACAGAUCUGAUAAUAAAAUAAAAUAAAAUACAAUAAAAUAAAAUAAAUGAGGAAAAAAAUCCCCCUAUACAUCAUUGUGAAAUUCCAGCCUGAUAAUGUAAAUGCAUUUGUUUUGAAAAAUGCCAUUUCCUCAUAUGACACACCUUUUUUUUUAUUUUAGCUGAUACUUACGGAGUAACCCUAGUCCCCCAGAAGGAGCAGAUGGCAUGACAUGCUGUCUUUGCUGACUUCUGACUGGUGACAUCAGUGCUGCUUACUGGGAGGUAGAGGUGGAGGGGUGAGGUGGUAGCAAGGUCAGUGCAGUGCAAAUACAAUGGCUGAGUCAAUCCAGUACUCCCGGUGGGGCAUUUGUACUGUGCUGACCUCCUCAUCACCUUGUCUCUGCUCCUCUACCUCUGGGGAGCAGUGGCAACACAGGUGAGUGUGUCGUCACUUCUUGCCACCUGCAGGUGGCUUCCGAGUAGGGGCAGCUGGAUCAUGUACACCUCCCUCUCCACGCGUAGAGAAAAAGACCUCCACCCACAAGGCCUCCUUGCUGAUGUGGUGAGAAUCUCAGCUGCCACCACUCCUCUGUCAGAGGAUGGUGCUCCAGAGAUGGUAGGGUCUGAAAAGGAGCAUGUUCUUGGCAAAUUGGGGGAGGCCUUGAAUCUGUGGGAUCCAAAGAUCUCCCAUUCCCCUGCCAUGCUCUGGCAGGGAUACAAACUAUACUGGCCCUUGAGCUGACAUAGUUUUUUCCCAUUCCACUGAAACCAACAGGAUGUUUUUUGUUUGUUUUUUAAAGGUUCAAUUGAGAAAGAAAAGAACCAAAAAGGUAAAAAGCCACAUUUCUACCUGGGUCAGGGUAAGCCCAAGAGGGCUUAGGAAGUGACAGUUCCUCUGCCAUGGAGUCUUCCCACUAACAUCUCAGUAGGGUUGGCCUGUCAGUGUAAAACUCUAUGAUCCUAGGGAUUCUAGGGAGUAAACCCGCCUGGAUUCAGUGGUGCUUACUUCUAAGUAAACACGCUGAGGACUGCAUGCAAAAUAACCAGAUCUUUAUAAAUGACAGCGAUAGCAUUUAGGAUAGUGCAUAAUGAUGCUCAUUGUGAUUGUUGGUGUAUUCCCGGAACGCCAGAAUAUUUUGUAUUAAUUUAAAAAUUCAUCAAAAGUCCUCUCCAUGUCAAGGUGAUGCAGCAACCACCGACAAAAGAAGAAGGCCACAUUUCUGCCUUUUCUGCCAAUUAUUGCUUGUUGUCAUUGGGAAAUG